rnacentral:lncRNA from 1 species
UGGAACAACAUGGUUGAAAUCUCUCAUGUUUUCUAUCAUGAAUCGAACCAGGUAUGAUUUCUCAGCACACCCUUUGCUGACUUCUAGCCCUCAUGAACUUGUUCCCUUCCUGGAAUUCUACGCAGAGCAGAACAUCCCCUUCCCAGACCUGGACACACUUUCCUCUCCUCAGCUCUACCAUACUCACAUUGCCCUCACUUCAUUACCCCAACCUGUCAUAGACUCUCAGUGUCGAGUUGUCUAUAUCUGUCGCAACCCCAAAGAUGUGUUUGUUUCUAUUUUUUGUUCUCUCGAGAUGGAAUAUAGUGGUUCCCCUUGAAGAGGCAUUUGAGUUGUUCUGCAAAGGAAUUAGCUUCUAUGGACCCUUCUGGGACCAUGUUUUAGGGUAUUGGAAGGAUAGUUUAGCUUCACCCCAGAGAAUAUUGUUUAUGAAAUAUGAAGAUGUGAAGAGGGAUUCCUUGUGUCAGGUCAAGAGGUUGGCAGAGUUCAUGGGCUUUCCCUUCUCUUCCGAGGAAGAGGGACAAGGUUUGAUACAUGAAAUUAUGGAGCUGUGUAGUUUUGAGAAUCUAAGAAAUUUGAAGGUAAACAAGACCGGAGCAAUAUCUGUGGGCAAUGUCAGCACUGGAAAGGAUACUUUCUUCAGGAAAGGUGAGGUUGGUGAUUGGAAGAAUCAUCUGACAGCUGAAAUGGCCGAUCGCACUGACAGGAUCAUGGAGGAAAAGUUGAAAGGUUCUGGUCUGACGUUCAGCGACUCCUGUGAUAGCUGAUUAUUAGUGCUGGAGGUGAACUUCAUAUGAUUUGUAUUAAGUUAAUUUAUUAACUAUCUAAUUGUCUUCUGUUAAGCGUGCUUGUAACAAAUGGAAUGAUGGUGUUAAGUUAAUUUGUAUUAAGUUAUAAGGCUUUCUUAAUUUAUAUAUAAAUUCAAUACUUGGCUAAGAAAUCAAUUCCACCAAAUAUACACAUGGACCAAUUAAAUUGGUCUCCUGAAUAUAACUAACUCAUCCUUGUCAAGAAAUUCCCGAACCUUAAAAGGGCAACAUGUGUUUCAUGAGAUUGUUCAAUUUCUCCCCUUUUUUUUAUUUCAAUCUACCUAAACAAGCUCAAUUACAAUUAAUUUUAUCAUAUUUUAAAAAAUUUGUGUAACACGGGUCUCAUGAGCUUGUUCCCUUCUUGGAAUUCUACUUACAUCAGAACAUCCCUUUCCCAAAAUUGGACACACUUUCCCCUCCGCAUCUCUUCCAUACUCACUUUCCUUUUACUUCCUUACCUCAACCUGUCAUAGACUCUCAGUGUCGAAUUGUCUACAUCUGUCGCAAUCCCUUUCCAUUGAAGAGGAAUUUGAGCAGUUCUGUAAAGGGGUAUGUGUCUGUGGACCCUUCCGGGAUCAUAUUUUAGGGUAUUGGAAGGCAAGUUUGGAUUCGCCCAAGAGUGUUGUUCAUGAAAUAUGAAGAUCUGAAGAGGGAUUCCUCAUUUCAUGUCAAGGAGUUGGCAGAGUUCAUAGGCUGCCCCUUCUCCCCGGAGGAAGAAACCCAAGGUUUGGUACAUGAAAUUAUAAAGCUGUGUAGCUUUGAGAAUCUAAGCAAUUUGAAGGCAAACAAGAUAGGAGCAUUAUCCGUGGGGGAUGUUAGAUUUAGAAAGGAUACUUUCUUCAGGAAAGGUGAGAUUGGAGAUUGGAAGAAUCAUUUGACAGCUGAGAUGGCUGACCGUCUUGACAGGAUCAUUGAGGAAAAGUUUAAAGGGUCUGGUUUGACAUUCAGUGAUUCCUGAUCUGCAGAUGAUCAAUUGUUGCAAAUGUAACCAUAUUAAUGGUGUCAUGGAGGUGUAUCAAUUAUGGUUUGUAUUAAUAAAUUUGAAAUGUUUUCUUAGACUGCCUCUUGCAAUUUUAAUGUUUUUAUAGUGUAGUUAGUACUUGGUAUAGCUGUGAACCUACCAAUCAUUAGUUACACUACUGAUGGCUUAAGAUUACUUUUAAAUUAAAAUCAUGUUUAAUAACUUAAAUUAAGUCAUUAAUUAUUAAGUCAAAUUAAGUCAUUAAAUUGAUUUAUCAAAUAUCUGGUCAUCCCUUUCCUGGUAAGAGCCAUAGUAAGAUUACGAAGUUGUCUCAUUUUUCCCUUUUAUUCCUCAAUUUACUCAAAACAAAUUUAACUACAUCUGGUUUGAUCUCAAACCAUUCUCCAAAUCAAGGUCUUCGAACGAUCUCAUAUAUACGUAUGCUAGAUAGAGGGGUGAACAAAGCCCUUUAAUAAAGAGUUACUUGAUUAAAAUUGAUGAGAAAAUCCAAAUUUGCACUCUGUUCUUUCUUACUCUCCAUGUGAACUUCCAACUCCAUGUUCCUACAGCUUCUUCUGUUUCUAACAUAAAUAAAUCAUAUAGCACCAUUGAGAUGACUCAACAGCUUUGUACAAGAAAGCAUUUAAUAUUUUAAUAUAUAUAUAUAUAUUCAAAACUUAAAAAUAAAUUUAAAUAUUUUUUUAUUCAUGAUAAUAAAUAUCAAAAUAAUAUAGAUAAAACAACUAAUAAUUUUGAAAUUAAUAAAAUAUAUAGCUACUAAAAUCUAAUUUUAAAUAAUAGAAUCUUAUGUUAUAAGAAUAAUUAUAAGUUAAGCAUAUUUAAUAAAAUUAGAAAUGCUAAAAUUUUAAUAAAUCUUCAUGGCACCCUUAUCAUAAUUUAAUCUAUCAAUAUUAAUGAUAAAAAGAUGAAAUUUGUUUAAAUUUUUUAAUUUUUUAGGUUUUAACUUUUAAUAAUUUAUAAAUUAUAUAUUUGUGGCAUCACUAGUUUGACUACGGUUCAAUCAUCUGUCCAACCAUUGAACUGUGUAUCAAUAACUUUUCUAAUUCAACGAUUGAUCAAAUUCUAAAAACAUUUUAAUAAGUAAAACUAUAUUUUAGAAAUAGUUUUAUUAAAAAUAAUAAUAAUUAUGAAAUUAAAUUUUAGAACAAAUAGGGAUCUGAAUUGCACUCAAUUAUUAGGUGUGACCUUUGUUCCUCACAUGGGUAAAAAUUGGUUGUAUCUCCUUAAACUAUUGGAUGGGGGUAGUGUAGAAUGAUUUCUAAAACCAACAUUUUUUUAUUAGAUCUUUUUAGUAAAGUGAUGUGUUUUAUAAUUAUGUCUAGAUAAAUACACGUAUGCUGCACAACUAGCUUGACUCUUGGAUUUUGCCAUGUAAUUGAUGCAUGCCUUGAUUUGGUCAAGGGUUACGCAUUUGGAACAUGGAUGGGGCUUUAAUCAGUCCUAUUGGCAAGCAUUGUGGACACUAGAUAAAUUGCUUUAUGGCUUGGUUUCAUUAAGAUAGACCUUAAUGUCGAUAUAGGAAUUAGAGAGUUUCUUGUCUAGAAUUAAAGAGUUUCACUAUUCAAGAUGAUAAUUUGCAUUAAUAAAGAAAUUUGCAUUAAUCAGGCUUGGGAGCUUUAUCCUCACAAAAACCUUUAAGCGCCUCCAGCACCUCCUGCUUCGAAAACGGCUCCUCCAAACUGGCUGCAUCCACAGUCUCCAAUCUCUCAAAAGGCAAUCCCCUUAAAUUGGGUCUCCAACCUCCAGCAAAAGACAACAUAGAUUUAAACUUAGUCACCACCCCAUCUCUAAGCUCAUUCUCCUCUGUUAACCAAACUCCAUUUAUUUUGACAUGGGAUAACAUGUUCUGCCUCCUGUGAGUGUUAGCCAUCCUAUGGAAGAACUUAGUAUUCCUGUCCUCCUCUCUCAACUAGACUUCCCUGGAUUUUUGUCUCUAAGAUAUCUCUUCCAGCAAAGCCCACUUCUUAAAAUCCUCUUUAGCUCAUCUCCUUGCGUCCACCUCCUGAACAGAGAGAGGCCAAGAUAACUCCAUUUUGUCCCAGAAAUCCACCUGACUCAAAGCCAAAGUCUUAUUGACCUCCACUUUCCCAAACUCCAGCUUAUUCCAAUAUCUCAACAGAGGCUUCAAAGCUUUAAAUUUAGAAGCUAACACAUAGCUUGCAGAUCCACUAAAAUUGAGCCCCACUCACCACCCCUGCAUUUUUUCUUUGAACCCCUCUUCCUUCAACCACAUAUUCUCAAACCUGAACGGCAUCGGACCACUCCUUACUCCUCCCCCGUCUAGAAGAAUUGGAAAAUGAUCUGAAGUCGGCUUAGGAAGGACAUACUGCAUAAACCCAGAGAAAUGAUCCUCCCAUUCAUUUGAAAUCAGAAACCGAUUGAGCCUUGAAUGGGAUUGAUUGUUCAAUCCUCCCUUCUAGGUGAAGGAGCCUCCUUGCAAAGGCAGGUCCCUCAACUCUAAAUCCUCCAUAAUAUCCAAAAAUCUCCUCAUUGAAGCAGAUAAUCUGCCUCCCCUACUGCUCUUUAUAGGGAAUCUCACAACAUUGAAAUCCCCUGCCACACACCAAGGAUCACUCCAUAGACCCCUUACCGCUCCUAAUUCCGCCCAAAAAUCUUCCCUCUCUUUCAUCAACGAAGGCCCAUAAACUCCAAAGAAUAACCAACAAAAGUCGUCCUCACAAUUUUUGAAUCUGCAAGACACUGAAAAGUUCCCCACUUCCGCUUCCAAUAAUUGCAGCACCUUUUUAUCCCAUAACACCAGCACACCACUAGAAGCUCCCCUCGAAUUUAACACCUUCCAAUCCAGACAUCUUCCCACUCCGAGGCUUCUAACUAUCAUCUUUGACAUUUCCUGCAUCUUGGUCUCUUGUAAACACACUACAUCCACCUUUUGACCCUUGAUCAACGCCUUAAUCACCUUUCUUUUCUCACUAUCAUUAGCUUCUCUAAUAUUCCACGACAAAACUCUUAAUUUCAUAACAUCCACCUUAAUAACCCUCUCUCUCCUCUCUGGACCAAUAAACCUAAACUUCAGUUAGCAAUCUGAAGCAACCCCGCACUCUUUCUAGUCCCACAAUAAUUCACUGAACACUCCAAUUUUUUCAAUUCUCUCUCUGACUUGGAGACCUUUUGAACUUUUUUUUUCCGCCACAACACCCUUAAUAUUCUUUUGCUCUUCCAUUCCUCUUAAUAAUAAUAAUAAAACUUCCCCUUCAAAACCCUCCGUAGGCAUACCCAGACACUUACAAAGAUUUAUAAAAUCUCCAUUCAUCCACGAGCCCAACACACUUCUAUUAUCUUCCUCCGAAACUCUUCCCAUAACUUCUAUCGACAUUUCUCCCCCCUUACUCUCCUUAAUAUUCUUCUCCAUGCCGAAAGAAAUUUCCCUCUCCCUUCCACCAGCCUCAAUGAUUCUCAACGGGUCAGCCAUCCCUUCUUCGUUCACCAAAUAUGGCCCCUCGAGUGCCACCAAGUCCCGAAUAGCCAUAAAAUCCUCAUUUUUUUCCCUACAGAAAGAAAAAGAAGAAGAGGAAAGAUGUCCCCGAUCCCCGAAACUAAGAAGAGAACAGUUUUCGGGAAGUGAGUACCUGGAAACCUCCUCCAAGAGGGCCUCAUCUGCUCUAAUCUUUCCUCCUGCUUCAGCCCACAACGCAGCGCAGACAAUGGCCUCGACUAGCCUCGACUCCUCGCACGAAGACUGAAUCGUCGGAGCCCUAACUUUCAUAAAGCAAUCAUUGUGACCCAUCUGGGCUAUACCUUGGCCCAAUCCCCUGAGCCCACAUUCCUUUGAAAGACCCAAAGAAGGUUAACAACCCUUUUUACUAAGGCCCACUCCAAAACCCUCCUGGGCCACAGGCUUCUCCGGACCUAUAAACUGUCCACAGCCCCUUUGGGCUCCCCCCUUCUUCAAACUUCCCCCCUUACUUGACUCAACCCAAUAUUCCUUAGGCCCACUACCUUUACCCCUUAAGCCCAUUCCCUCUGAUGCAAAACCCACUUCUUCAGCUGCUCUCUUUCCCUUUCCAUCAAAGUCCUCACCUGCUUCAGUACCCCCCGCCAUAUCCCGACCAUACUCCAAAGUAUCAGCUCCUACCUGCUCUUCACUGCCUACCUCACUUGCUGCCAUGGUUCCUUGUACUCACGAUGGCCCCACACUGCUUCCCACGUGUGAAGCCAAGCAUCCUUCGUCUCUGCCUUGCGACUUCUCCCUUCCUUGCGCCGACACUGUUACCGACACCCAUGGCGACACCUCCCACCAAAGCUGAAUAGCGAAACACAAAGAGCCCACCACCAAAUAUAACACCCUAGGUAAAUCCUUUCCAUCCGAUUUCACUUAAAACCUUGCCCACUGGAGCUGAGAGAAGUUAGUUGUAUCCUCGUCCACAGCCACCAGCCCUCCACAGCUGUUCCCCAAUUUUCUGAACACUUCAUAGUUCCAGAAAUUGAGAGGGAGCCCCACCGCCCUCACCCAACAAAGGUUUGUAUGAACUCCAUGACGAAAACAACCUGCUUCCGGACCUCAUCUUUCUAACUGAAAAAGUUUGUCCUGAACACGUCGGUUUCCUCUUUGCAACACUCUUUCUGCUUCUUCUGCUAUCUCAAAUUUUGCAAGAAAAGAAGUGCCUCUCAAAUAUGAAAACCUCACUCUCUUUUUCAAGUUCCAUAAACGCCUUCCCCAUAACCUUAAACAAUCUAGAUUUGGACAUUGAUCAACCUCUGUUUCCCACCUUCCCACAAGACAACGCCCUAAUUGCUCAUCUCUUCCUUUUAAUGUUCUGCUCCCUAGCUGAAUCCACAUUGCGUCCCCUAUUCUUCCCGCCUUUACCUUUGCUACUUCAACAAAUGAACGCGUAUACUCCUCCCCCUUCUCCGUGUCUUCGUCUCUUCUUCCUUCCUUUGCUCCUACCCAACCUACACCCACCUUUAUUUUCAGCUAGCAGAUGAAUACCUAAAGAACAAAGCUUUUCAGCUAGCAAAACCCAUCCCCCAAUUAACCCUCUGCCUUCCGGAAACACCAAACUAAACCUUUUCGCUUCCAUAUCACGAACAGAACAGAUAAUGUACCUCCCCGCCUCAUUAGCACGCAAUUCUAAUAUGAAUUUCCUCAUCUCCUCUACCCAAGUUUUGAUAACUUUCCUGAACUUCUCCUCCUUGCAACAAGCCUCUACUCCCCCAAGCAAACUCCUUAACCCAUAAUCUCCGAACCUAAUCCAAUUGGAGAAGCCUUUACUUCUCUCCAUUAUGAUCCCACGAAGCUUCCCCCCUGAAGAGUAAAUCAAAAUCUCAAAGGAUUUUGAUUCCACCACAAAACAACAUCUACCCCCUCCAGCACCUCUAGCACCUCCAACACUUACUCUCUCCAUCAUAACAUAGGUAGUUAAAUAUUAAACAUCAAGACAUAUUCAAGCCAGUUCCUACUGAUGCAUCUCCAAGUAAUUUCUACUGCUUCUUUAAGUGCUUUUUCAACCUUAAUUCAAUCUCCUUAACUGUUUUACAGGUAGAGUCAUACUCCUUAUCAACUCCUUCAUGAGGUAUUAUAAAAAAAUUUAUCUACCUUCAAAAUUUUCAUAAAUUCUUAAUAUAGAACUUGCAAAGAAUCUUUCAUGACUAAACUCUUAGGACUCUUUAUGGGGAUUCAAAUCUCGAGGUGCGGACCACCUCGCAGUGACCAAUAUUGGGUAAAUUCAAGGUAUUAUCAAUGGUAUGAUUCAAAUUUAGGAUUAUAUGUCAUUUAUUGAGACUAUACUUCUCAGUAUUCAUUCUAACUAAUUAGGUUAGCCUGAUAUGUGAUAUAUUAAUUAUGUAUUAAUUAUAUGUUAUUAUUGAUAUAUAAUUGGUAUAUAUGAAAAUAAUUAACUCGCUUGCAUCAAAUUGCUAACCUAUGCUCUCUUUAGGUUUUGCAGAUCGUUAUGAUGUGCCUUUAUUUUUUUUUUUUAAUAUUAUCUAAGUUGUUAUAAAAACACGCAUUUGAAUUGAUUUAUGAUAGUGUUAAGAGUAAAAAGAAAAUUAAGACAUUAUCAUACUUAUUUUAAUACCAAAUGCAAAUCUUUAAUAAUUGGUAUGUCUUGAAAACAAAAAUUAAAAAUGAUAAAAUGUGAUAAUUUUAAAAUAAUUAAAUUGUUGAGUUUCUUAUUCCCAAUCAUGUGUUAACACAACUUUUCUUGAUUGAUGAAGAGAAUUUUUAAAAUAUGUAAAGAUUAUUUAUUCUUUCUUCCAUUAUUAUUAAAUUGGAAUCAUGGUGUUGCAACUUCGAAUUGUCUCAUGAGUUGGUGAAGUCAAAUGAUUCGUACUUGAUUUCAACUUGGGUUACUAUUAAACUCUACGAUACCAACAUUACUAACUCUCGUAUUAAACUUGUUGUACCCCAUGGUUAAGAUGGACAUGAGUCGAUUUAUAUGCAUCAGUAUUUGUUGAAACUUUGAACUAUGUGACAACAUGUUAUAGUGUAUUUUUAUGUCUAGAUAUCCAAAAUGUUGACAUUAGUUAUCUUCACGAUUACUUUUACUACUCCAUGACUUCUACUAUUAUUCGACAUUUUUUUAUCUUAAUUAUUGUUUAUAAAGAUAAAUAUGUCAAUUUAUUAAUUUAAAAUCAAUUUUAAGUUAAAUGUAUUAAACAAUCUUUAUAUUUAAAGUAAAAAUUAAGUAAUAAAUUUUAAGUCAAUAAUUUAAAUAUAAUUUAACUUAAAGUUAACUUAAAUCAUUAAAUAAUAAAUAUUAAAUUUUUACCGAACACCUUUUCAUGUAAUAUUUGUUUGUUUUUUUUUACUUGAUUUUACUUAUUUUAUUUUCACCCUUAUUUUCAUUUUUUUUAUUUUGACUUUUGAUAAUGUCUUAUUUUGAUUUCAUUUUUUUUCAUUUGCAUUUAUUUUUUAUCUAUAUUUUAGCUUUCGUUUUAAACAUUCAUUUUCUCUAUUUUUAGUCUUUUAUUUUCAAACCCAUUUCUUUUAUUAUUAUUAUUGUUGUUGUUGUUGUUCAUUUUGCUAGUGCUAAAAGGUGAAAAUAAUUUUAGUGAUUAAUGUGAAUUUGAGAUCAUUUGCUAUGUUUGGUCACAGGAAAGUUUGAGGGAAAAUGUGAGAAAAAUAAAAUAGAAAGGAAAAGUAGAAGAAAAGAAAACGUGAAAGAAAAUAAAAAGUAGAUUGAAAGUUAAUAAAUCAUAUUCAUUUUAUACUUCAAACUCAUUUCACUUAUUUAACUAUUUUACAUAAAGAUUAAGUAAUUUAAAAAUAUGUAAGUUUUUCACUAAUUUUAAUUAUAUUCAACUUUUAAAUAUUUUUUUUAAUAAAACUAAACACGAGAAAAUAAUUUUCUUUAGCAUAUUUUUUAGUAUUUUUGGGAACCAAAUAUAGCCUUAAAAUUAGAAAGAAAAAAAAUAAACUAAAAAAAGAGAGUGAAUGAAGUUAAGAAGAGAAGGAGGUUGCAUGUGGCCUUAUUUGAUAACUGUUUAAACAGUUCUAAAAAAUAUAAUUGAAAAAUAAUUUUUUAGAAUAGUUUUUGAAAACUAUUAUUUGAUAUUUUAUAAAAUAAAAAUUUGUCUUUGAACUUAAAAUUUUUUUGACUUAUUUUUAAUAUUUUUAAAUAUAUUUUAAAAAUAAUUUUUACAUCUAGAUCUUUAUUUUUAAUCAUAAUACAUAUUUGUACAAUUAUUUUUUAAAAUAAUUUUAAAAAAACAAGUAAAAAAAAUUAAAAAAAUUCUCUAAAAAUGUUAUAUUUUUUAUUUUUGAUAACAAAAAAAAAAAAUUCUAAUUACUAAAUAUUUUUUAGUUUUUUUUUUAAAACAGUUGUCAAACAUUCACAUAACUUUGACUAUUCCCUUUUUGUUCAACAAGAGUGGCAGAAUUUCAGGGAUGGAAUGGAGAGCAAUUAUUUAUUUAUUUAUUUUUAAAAAAGGAUUGAAAGCAAGGAAAAGACUAAAGGCUUUGAAAAGUAAAAGAAAAUACAGAGGAAAGGUGGCAAAAAUUGGGUAUGAGAGGGCACAAAUGGUAAAUAAGGUCAUUGUCCCAUUGUACAUCUUUAUUUUAUAAUGAUAAUGAGAAGGUGAUAGACUCGCAUAUACCCAAAUAAAUCCAUAUAUGCACAUCUUUAUUCUAUAUUCUCUCUGAUCUAAAAUAAUAUCAUGUCACAUCCAAGUGUGAACACUCAUAAAAGUAAGAAUGGUCGUGCCAACUAGCAUUCACAUGGGUCUCUCUUUUUCUAGCCCUUUGAACAUUUUCUUUAAUGUAUCCAUCCUUGAUUCUCUCUUUAGGACCUUUGGACUUUUCUAAAGUGAUCCCCUAUGAUUUAUGCUAUGAAAAGACUAUUUUUACUUUUAUGGGUACUCACAUAAAUUUAUUGAAAAAAUAGGAAAAAGAUGUACAUUUAUAAUAUAAAUCAUGGUGAGACCAAUUCUUCUAGUUUAACUCUCCUAGUUAAGAUUUCGUUUCAAAGUAAUUUUGACUUAAAAAAAUGUUUUGAAAAAAAUGAGAUAUUUUGACAAAUUUUAGAAAACUUGGAAAAUUACUUAUAAUAUUUUAUGGAGAAAUACUAUUCUUUUAAAAAUACUUUUAGACAAAAUAUUUUUUUUAAAAAAUAUUAUAAAUAGAAAUACUGUUAAAUGUACUUGAAUAAUGCGUUUAACAGUAAUUUUAGAAAAUGUUUCUAAUUUUUUUAACACUUAAAUUAUAUAUAUAUUUUGUAAUAACUUUAUAUUUUGAUUUGUCAUUUUGAUUCUUUGAUAUUUGAAUAAUGUCAUAGUUAUGUGAUUUGUGCAAUUUUGUGAUUUAAACUUGAUUACAUUGCAUAUUUCUACAUGUUCAAUGUCCAUUAAUAUUGUAUCUAAAUUUAUAUUUUAAUUUAUUUAGGGUUUAUUUGAAAUGAAAUAUGGCUUAAAUUUUGAUAAAUGAUGGGAAAAUGAGAUGGUGGUAAGCUAUAUUGAUUUUGUUUUAUUUCUGAAUUGUUGUGUUUGUGUUGUAUGUGGUUGUUGGGAAGAAUACGGAAAAGAGAAGAAAAAUAUGAGUAUUGCAUGUGAAGGGAAUACAAUUUUUAGGAAUGUUCAAACAAUUUGUUGUUUAAUGUUGUUUAUAUGGGAUUCGAGAUGUUUUGUUGUUUAAUGUUGUUUAUCUGGGAUUCCAAAAUGAGUAAUUUGAGUGAUUUUUAUAGUUGUUAAUUGGUGAAUCUAAUGCAUGGGAAAAGAAUUCAUGUUUAGUCAUGAGUAGAUGAGUAUAAAUUUUAAAAAUGAUUGGGAUAAAAGUUUGAAUAAAUUUUUUAAUAAAAGUUUUGAAUUUGUAAUGAAUAAGGAUUGAAUUGAAGAAGAAAAUAAAACAAAUUUAGUAAAGUGGGCAUGAAUUUAUGUGGGAAUUAGGGAAAAUAGUAUUGGAGCCUUAGGUUCAAAAUUGAUGGUCACAACCACAAAUAUGAAAUUUGUUUUGUUUAUGUGUGUAGUGGUCAUAGUAAGGGUCUACCCUUAGAUGAAGGGGUUGGCCGUAAUUCAGUUAAUGACAUUUGGAUGAAAUUAUUGUUUUCGUAAGAGGUUGCAGUAAGUGAAUUAAAGGCUGACCCAUUUGUUUGGAGGUAGGCCCUUAGUUAUAAAUAUUGUUGUGGUUUAAUCUGGAUAGUAGGCAAAAUAAAGGCUGACCCAUUUGUUUGGAGGUCGGCCCUUGGUUGUAAACAUUGUUGUGGUUUAAUUUGGGCAGUGGGCAAAAUAAAGGUUGACCCAUUUUUUUGGAGGUCGGCCCUUGGUUGUAAACAUUAUUGUGGUAUAAGUUGGGCAGUAGGCAAAAUAAGGGUUGGCCCAAUUGUUUGGAGGUCGGCCCUUGGUUGUAACAUUGUUAUGGUUAAAUUUGGGCAGUGGGCAAAAUAAAGGUCGACCCAUUGUUUGAGGGGGUGGCCCGAAGAGAGUGAAAUUAGCACAAUUUGGCUUGAAGAGUUACCAAAACAAUGGUUAGCCUAUGAAUUGAGAGGUUCACUCCCUAAAUUAUAUAACAUAACAAAUUACUACGCAGUAAAAUAGAAUAAUUGCAUUGCUUAAUGUUAAGUAUACACUAUGCAUGUCUAUAUUUACAUCAUUAAUUGUAAACUAUGAAAUGUAAAUGAAGCUCGUUUGUAAAGUUUCAAAGAUAAAUGAUGUAUUAAUAUAUGAUGGUCAUAGGCAUGAUAAUAAGUUUUGUUAUAAGUAAGUUGGUUUAUGCAGUGUUAUUAAGAAAUUAGUUAAUUGUUUUAGCUUGACUAAAGGUUCAUGCUUCUAAACAGGGGCUGCACAUGAUCGAGUAGCAUUUAAAUGGAUCCAAAUAAUACAAUUUAUUGUUAUCUGCACAUUGGAGGAGAGCUAGUAAGGGAUGAACAUGGCAAUGUGGAAUAUAUGGGUGGGAGACGAGAGGGUCUAAGUUUAGAACGAUCAAUGACAUAUAAUGAUUUUGUUUCAAGGAUUUGUGGGAAAAUGAACAUCAAUAUAGUGGGACCAACAUUUUCAUAUACUCUCCCAUUUGAUUUAUAUGCACUUCAACCAUUGAAAAAUGAUGAAGACUUGACAAACAUGUUUCAAUUUAGUGACCGAUGUGCACGUGUAUAUAUAUGUUUAACAUCAACAGUUGAAGACGAUGAAAUGAUUGAGAAUGGAGGACAAGGGUAAGUUAUAUCAAAAAAAUAUGUAAUCUUAAAUGAUUCCAUGUAUUUAUUUAUUUUGUAAUAUUUAUGUUUAUUCAUUAGAUGUUAUAAUGCAGCUUGAACGAAACAAUCGUAGGGUCUAACUCGCCGGUCCCAUAUUCAACAAGAGAUGUUGAUAUUAGAAUGCAAUCACGAGGAUUUCAUCAAAGAUGUGCUAAAUCACAUGUUGGUCCACUAGAGUCAAGCCGUUUUGAGAGUGCAAUAUUGGGUAGUGGGCAUACCUUCUCAACUGCAAAUGAAUUUCGGGAUGCAAUAUAUCUCAUGUCAGUAGGAGGCCGUUUUAGAUAUAAGUUUAAGAGGAAUUGUCUUAAGCAUAUGACUGUAAUAUGUGUUGUUGAAGGAUGCCCUUGGAAAGUAACUGCUCAUGCUGUUGGGAGAACAAAAAUAGUUCAAGUGCAUACAUUUAGAAAUGAACAUAACCACUCUUUAGAAGAUGUGUCAAUUUCCGAACCAGUAGUUCAUUGUAAUCGAGCCACAACUAUGAUUGAUGAUGUUAUUCGUUCAAAUCCAGAUUACUUACCCCGUCAAAUAUGUAAAGACUUUCGUCGACAAUACGGAAUGCAAUUGAAUUAUUGUCAAGCAUGGAACUUGAAAGAGAAGGCUAAAGAACGAAUUCAUGGUGUGCCGCAAUGUUCAUAUAAGUUGUUACCUUGGUUAUGUACAAGGCUUAUUGAAACAAAUCCAGGGACGAUUGCUGAAUAUAGAUGUUCGGAUGAUGGUCAUUUUAUGCAAUUGUUUGUUGCCCUUUCAGUGUCAAUACAUGGGUUUCAACUGGGAUGUCGGCCUAUUAUAUCAAUAGAUUCAUCCCACAUGAGUGGGCCAUACAAGUGUGCUUUAUUUUCAGCUUCUUCCUAUGAUGUUGAUGAUGGCAUGUUUCCACUUGCUUAUGGCUUAUUUAGCUCUAAGAAUUACGAGGAUUGGCUUUGGUUUUUAGAGAAAUUGAAGAUGGUCAUAGGUGAAAGAGAUGUUAUAAUAAUAUCUAAUAGGCACCAAGGGAUUAUCCGUAGUGUUUCAGAGGUAUUUGGUAGUGAAAACCAUGCACAUUGCUAUCGUCGCAUUAAAGAAAACUUUAGUAGCUUUCUAACAAAGCUAAACACUAAAGGGAGGAAAGGAAAGGAAAAUGCUUUGCAAAUGCUUGAUUCUAUCGCCUAUGCUAGGUUAGAUUGUGAUUAUGAGGUUGCAAUGGAUACUUUAAGGACAUUUAAUCAUGAUUUGGUGAAGUGGGUUGAAGAAAAUAACCCUCAACAUUGGGCAAUCUCUAAAUUUAAGAAGAUGCAUUAGGAUAAGAUGACAAGUAAUUUGGCCGAGUCUUUUAAUUCUUGGUUAAGACAUGAACGACACCAUAACAUUUGUGUUUUCUUCAUCGAGCAUAUGGAUAAGUUAGGAUCUCUUUUAGCCGAGCAUAAAAAUGGACUUGUAAAAUGGAAUGGGUGUAUUGGUCCUAAAACAGAAGAAAAGAUUGCAUUGAACAUUGGAAAAGGUGAAAAUUAUAUCACUUAUUUACACUUGGGUAGUUCGAUGAAAGUAUCCAAUGGAAAAGCAUUCCUGGAAGUGGACUUAAUGGAGCGAACUUGCAUAUGUAAAGCAUGGCAAAUGUCUGGAAUCCCAUGUGAUCAUGCUUGUGCAGCUAUACGGCGAAUGGGGUUUGAUGUAUCUGAUUAUGUUGAUGACUGGUAUAAGUACAAUUUGCAAGAGAAGAUAUACUCUGGAAGCAUGCGUACUUUGGUAACGCAUGACAUGCCAAUGAUUGAUGAAGAUGGAACCGUUCGUGAUGCCUUGGGUCAUACUUAUCCCUUUCUUAAUCCUCCAACCACAAAGCGACCUCCUGGAAGACCUAGGAAACGUCGAAUCGAGUCUCAAUUCAUGUAAAAAAAAACAGUUCAUUGUUCUCGUUGUAAUCAGUCUGGGCAUAAUCGUGCGACAUGUAACAACCCAUUGCUGUAAGUUUUUUUUUUAUUAAACUUCAUAAUGUAAGAUCGACUUUAUAUUAGUAUGAAAUAGUUUGGUAAUCUUCGUUGUUGUUUCCUUGAUUAUAAGCAAUGAGUAAUUUAUUGGAUUUGAAGUGUUUGGUGUACAUAUAUUGUGAUUGUAUGUUGUUCUUCAAUAUUAUGGGAUAUGUUACAUGAUAAUGUAAUUGUAAUAGCAAAAUAUGUACCUUGGUCAUUAUUGUUCAAAGAUGGCAUUGAAGUGACAUAGAUUCAUAUGGCGUCCUUGGCAAAAAAACGAGAUUGUUAACUAGUGGGCAUAAUCGUGGCCAACCUUUACAUGUAGGGGCUGCUGCUUUUUGGCUGAUGACCCUUAAGCAUAUUAUUUAGUUUUGUGUGAAAUGGGCAGUAGCCAAAAUAAGGUUGUGCCUGUUAGAUCAUAGGCAACCCUAUCGUUUUUCAUCUUUAAAAUUGGUUUCGUAUUAUGUGAGGUGUCUGUAAAAGGGAGAUUGAACCAUUAACACCAUGGGAAGGCAUUCGAACAUUAGUUUAGUAUGUUAUGUGCAGAAGGCAAUCUAGGGGCGCACCUUCCAUUUGAAAGGCAUGCCUAUGUGUUAAUGAUAUUAUAUAACUAUGCUACAUGCAGAAGGCAAAGCAGGGGUGCACCCUUGGUUGCAUAGGUAUGCCCAUGGGUAUGAUAACUUUAUUGGGAAAUUCUAUAUGCAGUAUGCAAAGUAGGGGCACACCCUUGAUUUUAGGGGCAUGCCUAUUGCUAAAACCAUUAUAUUGGUAAGUUAUGUGUAGUAGUCAACCUAAGAGCAAAACCUUGAUGGAAGACACAUAAAUAUGUGUGAAAAACUUCUUUUUGUUAAGCUACUUGCAGUAGGAAAAAGAAAGACAUGACUCUCUGUCAGAGGCAUGCCUUUAGGAUGACUAGAGUUGAGGUGUGGGUUGGGCAGUAAGGCGAAUGGAGGCAUACUGAUAGCUUAAAGGUUGGCCCUUGAUGUUCAUAUGAAAUAAACGUUGGAAAUGAUUCCUUGUUGAUUCAAAAUCAUAGAUUUUUUCUAAAAAUUUAAUUAUUCAAUUUUUAAUUUAUUUUUUAUUAUCUUAAUUUUUAACUACUUUUUUUAUUUAGCUCAUUAAUAAUUUUUUUUAUUUAUCCGUUUACUUUUAUUUAAUUUCAAAAUUUUGUAUUUUUAAAUAUCACAAAAAUAGUUGUGCUGAGAAUAUGUUACAAUAUAACAAAAAAUAUAAUGAAGUCCUAAUAUUUUAUAACUAAAAAUUAAUUUGAUUAGAUAAAUGAUUAAUAAUUUUAAUUAUUUAAAUAAAUUAAUUUUAAUAGAAAAAUUGCCACCACAUAUUUGUAAUAAAUUUUUAGAAAUCAUAUCUCAAAUCAAAUAUUUGAUAUAAAUCAAUUUAGUUUUUAUUUAAAAUUUAAUAAAAUAUGUUUUAAUAAAAGUAUUUUUUAAUUUUAAAAUAAAUAACAUAAAUAUAUUAAAUGUAAUUAUGACCCAUCCAUGCUCAGAUGGGGGUCCUGGAAUCACUAGACUUGGAUGUACCAAAUUUAAUGAAGGAUGUACCAAAUUUUGUUAAAGAUGUACCAAGGGCUCCAAAGUGUGAUCCGAAGUGGGGAUCGACUCCAAAUCACUUUGUUAUGGGUUUCUAAAUAAAAUAGUGGCUCAUCCAUGGUCAGAAGGGGGUCCCGGAAUCACUAGGCUCGGAUGUACCAAAUUUAAUGAAGGAUGUACCAAAUUUUGUGAAGGAUGUACCAAGGGUCCAAAAAUGCAUUCCGUAGUGGGGAUCGACCCCCGAUCACUUUGUUAUGGGUUUCUUAAAGAAAUUACAGACCAUCCACGUUGAAAUGGGAGUCUCGGAAUCUGUCGGAUCGGAUGUACCAAAUUUAAUGAAGGAUGUACCAAAUUUUGUGAAGGAUGUACCAAAUUUUGUGAAUGAUGUACCAAGGGUCCAAAAAUGCUUUCCGAAGUGGGGAUCGGCCCCAAAUCACUUUUUUUUGGGUUUUUAAAUGAAAUAGUGGCUCAUCCACGGUCAGAAGAGGGUCCCAGAAUCAUUAGGAUCGGAUGUACCAAAUUUUGUGAAGGAUGUACCAAGGGUCCGAAAAUGCGUUCCGAAGUGGGGAUCGACCCCCAAUCACUUUGUUAUGGGUUUCUAAAUGAAAUUAUGGACCAUCCAUGUUGAAAUGGGGGUCUCGGAAUCUGUCGGAUCGGAUGUACCAAAUUUAAUGAAGGAUGUACCAAAUUUUGUGAAGGAUGUACCAAAUUUUGUAAUGAGUACCAAAUUGAUGUACCAAGGGUCCAAAAAUGCUUUCCGAAGUGGGGAUCGGCCCCAAAUCACUUUGUUAUGGGUUUUUAAAUGAAAUAGUGGCUCAUCCACGGUCAGAAGAGGGUCCCGGAAUCACUAGGAUCGGAUGUACCAAAUUUUGUGAAGGAUGUACCAAGGGUCCGAAAAUGCGUUCCGAAGUGGGGAUCGACCCCCAAUCACUUUGUUAUGGGUUUCUUAAAGAAAUUACAGACAUCCAUGUUGAAAUGGGGGUCUCGGAAUCUGUCGGAUCGGAUGUACCAAAUUUAAUGAAGGAUGUACCAAAUUUUGUGAAGGAUGUACCAAAUUUUGUGAAUGAUGUACCAAGGGUCCAAAAAUGCUUUCCGAAGCGGGGAUCGGCCCCAAAUCACUUUGUUAUGGGUUUUUAAAUGAAAUAGUGGCUCAUCCACGAUCAGAAGAGGGUCUCGGAAUCACUAGGAUCGGAUGUACCAAAUUUUGUGAAGGAUGUACCAAGGGUCCAAAAAUGCGUUCUGAAGUGGGGAUCGACCCCCAAUCACUUUGUUAUGGGUUUCUUAAAGAAAUUACAGACCAUCCAUGUUGAAAUGGGGGUCUCGGAAUCUGUCGGAUCGGAUGUACCAAAUUUAAUGAAGGAUGUACCAAAUUUUGUGAAUGAUGUAGCAAGGGUCCAAAAAUGCUUUCUGAAGUGGGGAUCGGCCCUAAAUCACUUUGUUAUGGGUUUUUAAAUUAAAUAGUGGCUCAUCCAUGGUCAGAAGAGGGUCCCGGAAUCACUAGGAUCGGAUGUACCAAAUUUUGUGAAGGAUGUACCAAGGGUCCGAAAAUGCGUUCCGAAGUGGGGAUCGACCCCCAAUCACUUUGUUAUGGGUUUCUAAAUGAAAUUAUGGACCAUCCAUGUGGAAAUGGGGGUCUCGGAAUCUGUCGGAUCGGAUGUACCAAAUUUAAUGAAGGAUGUACCAAAUUUUGUGAAGGAUGUACCAAAUUUUGUGAAUGAUGUACUAAGAGUCCAAAAAUGCUUUUCGAAGUGGGGAUCGGCCCCAAAUCACUUUGUUAUGGGGUUUUAAAUGAAAUAGUGGCUCAUCCACGGUCAGAAGAGGGUCCCGGAAUCACUAGGAUCGGAUGUACCAAAUUUUGUGCAUAUUGUGUGGCCUAGGGUGAAGGGGAUCCUCGUUUGAAAAGAACACACCAUCUUCUACGUUGGGUCUUUCUGACACCCCUUCAUUUGUACAUCCAACGUCAUCUUCAAAAGAUCUUCUUUGACCACCAGAAUGAACAGGUGAAUGUUGUGGAUUAUUUGUAUAAAAUGGUGCACCACUUUCAUUAACAUGUUCAUGAAAAUUUGACGGUUGGCCUUCAUCUGUGCGAUAGUGUGAAGAGGUGAAACGAGUCCUCAACACUUUCACGUCACGGUUGUAUGAUGCAAUAAGACUAUUAAGAUGACUUUGUGCAUCGGUGAUUUGACGUUGUGUUGCCUCCAUGCGAGCACAAAUAACCUAAGUCAAACAUAAUGAAGGAACAUUAAAUGACAUAUAUUUAAACUAAGCCUUAAUAUAAGUUACUAUUCAUAGUCAUUAGGUAUGAAGGAUUACAUCAAAGUCUUCAUUCUCAUCUGGGUCAACUGGGUCAUCAACUGCAGGAGCCUUAUUUUUUUCUGUUUCAUCUUGCUCCGCCGAUGUGCUAACCAACUAUCAUUGCAAAACAUGUAAAUUGUCAUCCCAAUAAUCUAAUUACAAUGGUAAUCAACUAUCUUAAUAUAACUAAAAGCUAAUUAUACCUCAACUUUGCCAAAUCCUCCAAGCAUUUCUAACUCCAACUUGAUGCAUUGCUUGACCAAAAAAUCAUUCCAUGCAGCAAUGCGAGGAGUGGUAAGUUCCACAUACAUGGCUGGAAAAUUAGAUAUUGAAAAGUAGAAUAUCUGAUGCAUUAUAUAAGACAUAAUUAGUGGUAACAUCAUGGCCAACAUAGUGUAUAACCAUUAUUGAAUAUCUAAUACAUGGACAUAUACUUAUAAAUAAGACAAAAAGUUACCUGUAGAAACAUCAAACACCCUUUAAUCCAAACACUUUCUUUCCUCCUAUGUUCAUGUAUAGCUUGAAUAAAAAAUUCUAAGACAUAUUCUCCCCAAUUUAUGUUCCCAAGUAACUGCUCUCGGGGUGUAUACCAUAACGAGUGACUACCUUCCAAACGAGAAGUGGGUGCCAAUAAGGUUGCACAAGCGAAAAUCAAGAAGACCCGUUUAAAUUCCUCCAUAUCAUCGAUGCCAACCAUCAUUGACUCUAUAUCUUGCAAACUCGGCAUUUGACUAGCUUUAACACUUCCCUUCUCAACAAUUAACUUUCUUCCACUAUGUGGAAUGCCCAUCGUCAUCCCAACAUCAUGACAUGUCAAAGAAACCUUCUUACCCACAAAUAACUCGAGUUGGGAAUAAGCAAGGUUUGUGUUUUUUAUCAACCAAAAACAUAAAUCUAAAUUAACCUCCUUACAACCUAAUUGCAAUAGCCCACCAAAACCAAGUUCUCAUAUUACAUCCUUCUUCACUUCUGAGAGCAAAUGGAUUCCAGAGAGGAAUCUACGGCCAGAACAACAACACCGUAUGUUCAUAUUAUCAUUGCAUUAAACAACCAUAAUUCAUUAAUAAAUUAAUAAAAUGUUAAAGACAUGUGAACGUGAAUAUAGUGUUCCUAUAUACAUUCAUCAUAAUUAUUACACAAAUAUAACAUAUAUUAACAAAGAAAUGGGAAACAUUUUGUUACAUCAUGUAAAUGAUAAUCAUUGAGAUCGGUUUCCUCUAGCCUUUCAAUAAUAUGGUUAUCAAUAAGGGUGAAAUUUUUAUAUAUAGGGUCACCCACUAUGAUACCCACUGCAAAAAAAAAACAGACAAUGUGCAUUUUAGUGGGUCAGCCAAUAAAAACAAAUGGUACGCCUUAAAGUUACAUACUCAUCUAACCAAAUCAAUAUAGUUUAGGGAAAAGUGGGAUUUGAUUCACUAAUAAGAAAAUAUAUGGUAAAAAGAAUCCCAAAUAUUUUAAAUUAGUAUUAUCUUCAUCUAUUUAAAAAUAAUUUGAAAUACAUGCAAUGAGUUAUCCAAUUAUUCCAAAAAAUGUCAUUUUAUUUUUUAUGUUAUUCAAAUCAAUUGACAACUAUACUCCUCCAUAUAAAUGUUUCCUUAUUAUUUUAGAUUUUUUUUUUUAUUAUUUUAUUAUUUUAGAUUUUUUUUCCUCUAGAAACAAACACCUUAUAGGAUUCUUAUUUUAGUUUUCUAAAAGUUUAGGAAAUAUUGUCAAACAAAUCAUAUUUAAUUAUAAUUACCAAUUCAAGAAGUAAUAAGAUUGUUUAUUAAAUAAUAAAGAAUAAACUUCGUAAUAUAUAAUUAUUUUAAUAUUAUAACAAAUUUAUUAUUGAAAAACUCUAAUAACAAAUUUUAUUCAUUAUUAUAUUAAACAAUUAUUAAUAUUAUAUAAUAAAUAGAAAUUUAUUAUUGGUUUAUUUAUUAUCAAGAAUACGAAUCUAUUUUUAACUUAUUAAUACUAUAAUAAAUUCUGUUUUUUUUUUCAAAUUAUUACUUUAUAAUGUUUUUAGAGAAAAAAAAUUUCCCAAAUAAUAAAAUAAUAAAGUAAUAAUAAUAAUAAUAAUAAUUUAAGAUUAUUGACAACUACACUCCUCCAUAUAAAUGUUUCCUUAUUAUUUUUAGAUUUUUAUUUUAUUUUAUUAUUUUAUUAUUUAAGAUUUUUUUUCCUCUAGAAACAAACAUCUUAUAGGAUUCUUAUUUUAGUUUUCUAAAAGUUUAGGAAAUAUUGUCAAACAAAUCAUAUUUAAUCAUAAUUACGAAUUCAAAAAGUAAUAAGAUUGUUUAUUAAAUAAUAAAGAAUAAACUUCGUAAUAUAUAAUUAUUUUAAUAUUAUAACAAAUUUAUUAUUGAAAAACUCUAAUAACAAAUUUUAUUCAUUAUUAUAUUAAACAAUUAUUAAUAUUAUAUAAUAAAUAGAAAUUUAUUAUUGGUUUAUUUAUUAUCAAGAAUACGAAUCUAUUUUUAACUUAUUAAUACUAUAAUAAAUUCUGUUUUUUUUUUUCAAAUUCUUACUUUAUAAUGUUUCUAGAGAAAAAAAAAUCCCAAAUAAUAAAAUAAUAAAAUAAUAAAGUAAUAAUAAUAAUAAAAUAUCUAAAAAGAAUGGAAAUAUUUGUACAAAGGAUUCUAAUUGUCAAUGGAUUAGGAUGACAUGACAAGUAAAGGGCUAUUUUUGGGAAUAAUUAAAUCAUAAAUUAAAAAGUGCAUGCAUUUUAAAUUAUUUUUAAAUAAAUGAAGAUAAUAUUGGAAUUUUCUUUGUCAACCAAUCAGUUUUGAGAAAAAAAAGUUCUUGUAACGGAUAAGCUCCAGGAGGUUAGUUUUUGUAUAUAUAUAUAUAUAUAUAUAUAUAUAUAUAUAUAUAUAUAUAUAUAUAUAUAUAUAUAUAUAUAUAUAUAUAUAUAUAUAUAUAUAUAUAUAUAUAUAUAUAUAUAUAUAUAUAUAUAUACAUAUAUGUNNNNNNNNNNNNNNNNNNNNNNNNNNNNNNNNNNNNNNNNNNNNNNNNNNNNNNNNNNNNNNNNNNNNNNNNNNNNNNNNNNNNNNNNNNNNNNNNNNNNUUUUGAGAAAAAAAAAUUUUUGUAUGAGAUAAGCUCCAGGGGGUGUGUUUUUGUAUAUAUAUAUAUAUAUAUAUAUAUAUAUAUAUAUAUAUAUAUAUAUAUAUAUAUAUAUAUAUAUAUAUAUAUAUAUAUAUAUAUAUAUAUAUAUAUAUAUAAUGUAUAUAUAUAACAGUUCAUGUAAAUUUUGAUUUUUUUGUAAAUUAAAAUAUAAUAUUUUUUUAUAUUGAUAAAUAAAAGCCAUAUUGUUUUAAAGUACUUUAUUCAACAAACAACAAGAUCAGUGGCCCCAACAUUGAUAUGGUUACAAAAAUAGCUAUAAAAGAAAAUAUGACAUAUCAAAAUCCAAUUCAAUAAAAAUCAUAGUCCUCAAACCUCUGUUUCACUCAUGGAAGAAAAUAUCGGUAAUCACAGAUAUAUCGGUAUUUCGAUUUUACGGAUAUAUCGGAUAUAUCGGAGAUAUAUCGGCGGAUAUUCUGGAAAAAAAAAUCGAUAGACUUAAAAUUGUUAAAAACUCAUGAAAAUACAAGAAAAACAUCAUAAUAAUAUAAUUAGAAGUAUAAUUGACAUUUUAAAGUUGUUUUAUUGAAAAAUUUGAUAUAUAUAUAUAUGAUAUAAUUUGCGAUAUUAGAUGUAAUUACAUCAUGUCGAUCUAUAAGAAAUGUUAAUUUUGUAAUUGUUCUCAUUAUAAAGUCACAUAAAAUAUUUUAUUUCAUUAAAUAUCAAUAAUUUGUACACAUUAAAUUCAUUAAAUAAACAUAUUUCAUAUUCAAAAUAUACUAUUUCAUGUUAAUUAAAUUAAUUAAAUAAUUUAGCUAAGUUAACUAGUUUAAUUUAAUUCUAAAUGUGAAAAUAAAUCACAAAUAAUCAUCUAAAAUAAACAUAUCAAUUUAUAAUUAAAUAAUCAAAUUAACCUAAGUUAAUUCAAUAAAAAUAUAAAAAUUAAUUACAAUUGAAUGUAAAAAUAACAUUAAAUCAUCCAUAUUACAAACAUACUAAUUAAAUAAUAUAAAAUAAAUAAUGAUAUAUAUAUAUAUAUAUAUAUAUAUAUAUAUAUAUAUAUAUAUAUAAUUUUUUAAUAUUUAAUUAAUUAUUAAUGAUAUUAAAAACAUUAUGAAGAAAAUUAUAUAAUUUUUAUAUUUUUGGUAAUUAAUUAAAAGACUUUGUAUUUAAUUAUAAAAUAAUUAUAAUUAAUUUGCUAUUUAAAAUAUUCUUAUAUUUUCUUUAUAUAAUGAAUUUAACUAUAUAUAUAGUUGUUGCUUAUUAUAUAUCAAAGGGCAACUUAGCCCAAGUGGUAAGCUGAUGAACCCCAAACCUUUUGGUUUGGGGUUCAAAUCCUCUCAGCAGCAAGAAAGGAAAUGGGAGGCACGGCACUGUAGCGCGUGCACUGUAGCGCGUUGACGGGGCACUGUAGCGGGUCUGACCCGCGUUGACCACGCGAUAUAUCGCGAGAAAUAGCCUAUUUAUCGCCAAAUCACCGAUAUAUCGCGAGAAAUAUCCGAUUUCUCGCGAGAAAUAUCAAAAUAUCGCCGGACCGAUAUUUCUCCAUGAAAUAUCGUGUCGAAACCCUUCGAUACACGAUAUUUCGGCGAUAUAUCGCCGAAAUAUCGCGAUAUUUUCCUCCAUGGUUUCACUAAAAGGUACGUAAUCCUACAAUUCACUUCAUAUGACCCAUGAAGUUAGCGCCAUCAAGAUGAAUUGUCAUAAUUGAAACAAAUCUACAUAAACAAAUAGAGACCAUUUCACAUUUUAAACUACAAUAUCCAUCAAACAACAACAAGACUAAUGUUUACAAAAUUAAUGAAGUUACAAAACUACUGAAAGAAAAGAGUAACCUACCAUUUAAAAAUUUUCUACAUUUGUAUUAAAAAUAUAUGGUAACAAAAUUUUCUAUUAACAUUAAUUUAUUUAAAUAAUUAAUAUUAUUAAUAAUUUAUCUUAUCAAAUUAAUUUUAAUUUAUAAAAUAUUACUGAUAAAAACUGAAAUUUUGAUUUAACCAAAAUAAAGAUGGAUAAUUAAUAAUUAUUUAUAAUUAAUAAUUAAUAAUUUUGAUUUAUAAUAUUGUUCUUGUGAUUUGUUUCCUUUUUAUUUCUAUACUAUAUCUAAAAAACAAACAUGCUCGUUGCCAUUCGUUGAGGCAUUAUGGGAAGGUGAAGGACCCAACGGUGGAGAAUUUGUUGUCGGAGUUUGAUUUUGAGCACACUGUUGGGAGGAGAUUGGUUUCAACCUUUGGAACUCGGUCUGUGGUUCUAAUGGUGGUUGAUGCUUCAAAUUUUGAUGGGUCCGGCCACCACGCGUGAGGCAUCAAGAAGCCCCUUUGUUGAAUUCUUCUCCAGGCAAGCAUCAUGCCUUAUUUUCCUCUGCCACUCUCAAUCCUCGCAGGUACUAAUCUAAUCAUGUUAUUAAUAUUUAUUUUCAACCCCAAUUUGCUUCCCAAGAAAAUCCAUCCCCCAUUCGAUUUCCGGGAAAAUUCAUCAUCGUUUGAUUUCCGAGAGAAAUCCAUCAAAACUCCCAAGGAAAACCAAAUAAAAAAUGCUUUUAUUUUGUUGCUCCCUGUGUUUUCUGGAUCUGUUCUAAGGUUUUAUUUGUUUUUGUGCCAUUGGAUUUAAAUUCUACAAACCCUAAAUCCACGAUUUUUGAGCCACGCUGAAAACCACAACCUUUGCCCUCAAAUUGUGGAUCUGUGUGCGUGUGCGGCGGGCUGGACUGGUAAGUGGAGUUCAAAUACACUAUUUCUUUAAAUUGAUUGCUUUUUUGCCAUUGGAUUUAAAUUCUACAAACCCUAAAUCCAUGAUUUUUUAGCCACGCUGAAAACCACAACCUUUGCCCUCAAAUUGUGGAUCUGUGUGCGUGUGUGAUAUUUUUAAAAAAUUACCCAAUCUUCUGUCAAAGAUCUCAACAAGCAUCAAUACCAACCCAAAUUAACUCGUAAAUCCAUUACAUUCGUACUUGGAAAAGCUCCUCUUAGCUCGGACCACUUCUCUCUAUUUUCACUGCAAGCUCCCCUCGCGAAUUGUGGCUGUGAAAGAAAGUGAAAAAAUAUGGGUUUUUGGAGUUAGGGUUUGGUUCAAGAGAGAAGAAGGGAUUUGGAGGGUUUGGUUCAAAGAGAGAAAAAGGGAUUUAGGGUUUUGAUUCAACACAGAAGAAAUGAUUUCGGGUAAAUCUCACUAUUAUAUUUUAGUAAAUAUUUUUAAAAAAAUAUUGCCACAUGGAGUGUCUACAUGUCAUAUGAGCCAUGUCACUGGCUUAAGUGGAACAUGACUUUGCUGAGUAAUUGAUUAUGUCAAAGUGUAUGAGGGUAUUUUUGGAAGGCUCCUCAAUAUCACUAUUACAGUGUAUGAAAGGUGGUUUAUUUUUCACAAAAUCCAUUGAAUUUGAAAAGUAAAAAGUUAAGUUUCCAAAAGGCAAAAUUUUGCCCCUUGGUGUAUGGUUACAUAAAUUCCCCAUAUUCUAAGAGUAAUCUCCCAACUAUUGCAUUAGAAUAUGUACUUGCUAAUCAAUCAAUCAAUCAAUGGUCAUUGUCCUUAAGGGUCUCCAAAAAGCUCGCGGCUCGCCGCCCGGCCCGACGGGCUAAAGCCCGGCCCAAGCCCGUUUAUGGGCGGGCUGGGCCGCGGGCCGGCCCGUAGGCUCGCCCUUAGGCUCGCCCCUUUAAAAAAAAAACUACAAAAAUAAAAAGUAUUAAAAAAAAUAUUCAUUUCAAAAUUUUAUUCAUUGAAUGUAUAAUUACAUUUAAAAAUGUGGGAAAAGUUUACAUCACUACAAAAUAAAUACAUCCCAACUAGGUUGGCACCUAUUUAUUUGUCAAUCAUCUGUAUUUUUCAAUCACAAAAAAUAAAAAUAAAAAUAUAAUAUACAUUUAGUCAUUAUUUUCUGGCGGUGAUGGCGAACUAUCAUGCAUCCAUGAAGAUCUUGAUAAUUUUAAAGAUUCCAUAUCGGCAAGCAUCUCUGUUUCUCGAAUGGAAUCGUACAUCCUUUUAUCUGCUAUUUCCCCAUCUUUCACACAUAUCCCUGCUUCAAUAACAUCUGGCGCUAAGUUGCAUCGUUUUUUACUAACUACUCUUCCACCUGCACUAAAAGCAGCUUCUGAUGCAACUGUACUCACAGGAACUGUUAGUACAUCAUGAGCAAUUAUAGAAAACACAGGAUAUUUGUGUUGAUGUGAUUUCCACCAUAUUAAAAUAUCAAAAUCUUCUUAAUCUUCAAAUGAAAUUAUAUCAGUAUUAAGAUAUUUAUCUAAAUCAGAUGUAUUAUUUGGAGAACUAUUUGUUGUCUUUUUUCGACUUUUUAACAUUUCUAGAGCUCCUUUGUAAAAAGAUGAGGAGUUUGUAGGUGGUAAUUUAAUAGUAUUAAUAUCAUUACCAUAUUUUUCUUUAUAAUAGUUAUAUAAAUUAUAUAAUAAUGAAUUUAUUUCAUUUUUAAUUUCUUCAAUUUUUAUUUGGUCAUUAAAAUAAAUAAUUGUUAACCAUUCAUCCAAAGCUUCAAAUUUCAAUCUAGGGUCUACAAUUAAAGCAAUAUAAAAAAUUAAAGGUAUUUCUCCCCAAUAUUUUCUAAAUUUUUCUAUCAUUGCAAAUAUUGUAUCAUUAAACAUUUCAAAACUUAAAUAUUUUUGAAGUACAAUAAAAAUAUUAGUUAUUUGCAUAAUAACUCGAUUUGAAGUUGGAUAAUAUACACCACAAAAAAUGUUUGUUGAAGUAUCAAAAAUUUCAAAAAGAUCUCUUAAAAGAUCCGCAAUAUGCCAAUCAUAAUCAUUUAAUGCAUAAAUAUCUGCUUCACAAUCAUUGUUAAUUAAUUGUAUUUCAUAUAAUUCGACUACUUUUCUAUAUUUUGUAAAAGUUUAUAUGUGGAAUUCCAUCUAAUGGCCAUAUCCAAAUUUAUAUUUUUUCUUUUCAUAUUUAACAUUUUGCAACAAUAAAAAAAUAAUUCAUGUUUUGCUUGAGAACUAUUAAUACUAUAUGCAAUGCCUCUAAUUUUUUCCAAUGUACUAUCAACAUUUUUUAAUCCAUCCUUUACAAUUAAAUUUAAAAUAUGUGCACAACAACGCACAUGAAAUAUUUUAGCAUGAUCUUCUUUUACUUGCCAAUAUAGUUUUAGUCUAUGUAUUGCUGUAUCAUUAUUAGCAGCAUUAUCUAAUGUUAUUGUCAAUAUUUUAUCACGAAUGCCUAAAUCUAUAAUUUCAUCAUUUAUUAAAGCUGCUAUAUUUUUACCACUAUGUGGAGCAUUUAUUAAUUUAAAUGAAAUUAUUCUUUUAUUUAAUUUCCAUUCAUUAUCAAUGUAGUGAGCAGUUAUACAUAAAAAACUAGUGUGAGUUAAAGAUGUCCAAAUAUCAGAUGUUAAACAAAUAUUUCCUUCAAAAUUUGCAAAAAAAAAAUUUUAAAUUUCUUUUUGUGUAUAAAUUUUUUUCAUAAUAUCUCUUUUAACUAUAUUUCCAGACCAACUUUUAAAUUGAGGAUUAAUACCUCGUUGAAUUGUUCCUACAAAAUCAUGAGUUUCCAUCAUGUUGAAAGGUUGUUCUGCUCUUAUUAUAUAAUCAAUCAUUUCUUCACGACAGUUAGAUUCAUCAUAAGAAAAUGUUUUUAAAUUUUCACUUUCAUUUUUACCUAAUUGCAUAUAAUUUCUAAUAUCUACAUUAUUUUUAGUUUUACAAUUUUCGUGAUGUCUUUUUAAAUGACUUGUGCCUGCAUUUGAGCCACCAGUAAGAAAUUUAUUACAAAUUUUACAUUUUGCUUUUAUUUCUUUUUUAUUAUUUUCUAAAAUUAUUUCUAUUCUAUCAAAAAAAUUCCAUAUAUUUGAAGUAAAUUUUUUGUUUGAUGAUAUUUCAUCACAUGGACUAUAUGAAGAAGCACUUGCCAUAUUAUAAUUAUUGAUAAAAUAUUAUGCCAAAAAUAAUAAAGUAAUAAAUAUAAAAAAAAAUGUAACAAAAAAAUAAAGUAGUAGGGGUGAAGUAUGUUACUCAAUUAGAGAACCGAUGCAGAAAUUCCUAGCAAAUUUGAACUCUUGGAGCCACCAAUGCUUGUUUUGCACCACCAACAAUAUUGUAUAAUUUGAGGAAAAAAUAAAAGAAUUUGAAAUAUUGUAGAAUGUGAGAGAAAUAGAGAGAGAAAUAGAGAGAAUUUGAUGAAAAAAUGAAAAGGAAGAAAAUGUAUUUAUAGGAAGGUUUAAAAAAAAAAAAAAAAAAUUGGUCAUGUGACCGUUGGAGGCUUAGCCCCAACGGUCACAUGACUCACAUGGGCAGCUGGGCUGGAGCUCCAACGGUCACAUGACCGUUGGAGCCUUUAAUUUUUUUAAAAAAAUAAUAUACUUUAUUUUUAUAUAUAUAUAUAACUAACUCAAUUAAUAAGCACAAAAGGAAUGUAGCUCAGUUGGUUAGAGCCUUGAAAUUUAAGCAUGAGGGGAGGGGUUCGAAUCCCCCCCUCUCCCUUCCUUUUUUUAAAAGCCAUUUUGGCUUAUUUAAAAAAGCCCACGGCCCGCCCCGCCCAGCCCGCCCCUCAGCCCGCCAGCCCGCUAACCCGCGGGCUCAUAGGCCGGGCCGCGGGCCUAACAUUUUUGUAUGGCCCGGCCCGGCCAGGCCUGUUGAUUGGGCCCGGCCCGAGCUGGGCCGCGGGCCUCCUAUUUACGGCCCGCCCGUUGGAGACCCUUAAUUGUCCUUAUGACUUGAGAGCAUGGGAUUGCGCCAUUUUUUUUUUUUUUUACCGACAAGUAGUAAUUGGAAGACAAAAAUUGUUGUAUUUGAUAAAGUCAAUAUCAAUAUGUUGGAGCUUAACAUGUAGGUCUUGUUGUUGUAAAUUCAACUUUUGAUUUCUUCAGGGUUAACUCCAUACCAUUUCAAAUUAGAUGUUUUCUGAGGUAUGCAUGCAUAGAAGGUUCGUAAACCUUAAGGAUUAGCUAACACAACACAUUAGAAUGAAAAUGAUGGAGUGAAGGUCUGAAAAAUGCAACACCCUCCUAGUUGAAGUGCUUGUCCUUGGGCAUUCAAACAUUUAGAGAUUUCUUUGCUACUUUCUAUUUCAUUUCUAACUUUAAAAAUUUGAUUUUGAAAUAUUUUUAAAGUAGAAAUCCUCCAUAAUUAAUUUCUAAAGUAUUUUAAGCAUACAUAAGCAUGUUUUAUUGAAAAUUUGUGAGCAUCUAAAUCUCACAAGAGGAUAGUCAUUAUGGAUGUUUGAGCCUCUAUCUUUCAAUUUUUUUCAAGAUAUUUCUUAAAAGAACUUUCAAAUUUGUUUACUACAAUAAAGAUCAAGGACUCACAUUACUUAAAUUUAAUUUAUUAAGGGUUUCAAACAAUCUAAUAACAGGCAUAAGAAAGUAUUACAUUGAGACAUAGAAAGAAAAGUGAUGGUAUUGAUGAUAUUAUACCUUAAAAAAUAAGUAUAUCAAAUCAAGCUAAAUGAUAUUUUUUUUUUCUUAUAUUUAAUUGAUAACUUGGUGAUCAAGAGAUGAUCCAUGAUCUUUAACCUAGGGGUUCUAGGCAGUUUUUCAUUUUUAUUCUAUAUAUUCUUACAAUUAUUUAGAAAAAGGAUUACUUGCUCGAAAAAGAUUGAAUAUUUUUUGUGUAAUUUCCUAACAACCAAACAUGCUAAUAUUGGCAUUAAUUUUGGUUGACUUUCUUUUGGUAAGAAUAAGACAAAUAACUAAAGAAAGUGCUACGAGAUAUUUGUACACUUUAGGUUCCCUAGGAAGUAUAAGAAAGAUUAGUGAUUUUUUGUUUGUUCGAUUAGUUGGUUGAUUGGAGUUUCGUGUUUUGUUGUUUAUUUGGGAAUUGAUAGGACAUGACCUUUUAAAGAAAAUGAUUCUUUAACAUGAGCACAAUGAACAGUUUUGUCCUUUGCAACAGUAAGUGAGUAUAGAAAUAAAAUGAAAAGAUUUGUACUUUAUAUGAGUUGUUCUUUGGGAAUACUACCUACAUUUGACCUCGAUAAUAAAAUGAUAUGUAAAGUGCAUGUCAUUAAAAAAUUUAUAAAAAUUUAUCAAACUAUAUAACCUAUUGGUGAGAAAUAAUCACAUGCAUUUUAUACGUAUCUAAAUAUCAUAAUUUUUUUAAUAAUUUAUUAUUAAAUAUCAAAUAUAAUUUGUUAUUUAAUGAACUAUCUAACUCUACAUAAAAAUAAUAAAAAAUCUUAAUUUUUUAAUUGUAUUUUUAAUUUUUUUAAUUUUUAAUUUUAUUAAUCUCAAAUUAAUUCUCAUAUUAAAUUAAUUUAUAUUAUUAAUAUAUAAAAGGGUCAUUUUAGGAAAUAAUUAUUUGAAUCAUGAAAAAAUAUAUAUUUUAAAAUAUUUUAAAUGAGUGAGGAUAAAUAUGAUUUAUAAAAGUUUGAGAUAUUUUUUUAUACUUUUUUGUUUUAAAUUGGUAAGUGAAAACCCACUUUUUCCAAAAAUAAUUAUAUAAACAUGUAGAAUAAAACACUACNNNNNNNNNNNNNNNNNNNNNNNNNNNNNNNNNNNNNNNNNNNNNNNNNNNNNNNNNNNNNNNNNNNNNNNNNNNNNNNNNNNNNNNNNNNNNNNNNNNNUCUAUCAACUCAAAGCUUUACUUAGAGUUAGGGAUGAAGAUAGGCGGGCUCACCCGAUCUAAUUUGAACCCAAUUGGAUAUUUGAACGAAUUUAAACAAUCAUUUUUAAUAAUCAGGUUGGGUUGAGUUAGGCUUUUUUCAACCUGAACUUAAUUUGGAUUGAGUUCGGAUUAAGGUUUAGACAACUAGAGUUUAACUUGAAUCCGAUUUAAUGUUUUUAUAAUAUUUAUAACACAUUUUAUUCUAUAUAAUAAUAUAAGUUUUCUUUUUCUAUUUUUAUGAAAAAUAUCAAAUUAUAUUAGAUACUAUGGUUUUUAUUAUUUUUAGAAAAUAUAUAAAUUUAUGCUUAUUCUUUUAUUGCUAUCUUGAAAUUUUGUCCUAUUUGUUAUUAAAAUUUUCAUAUAAAUACAUUAAGAUAAUAUUAUACAUAGAUUUUGAAUUAUGCAACAUGACCAAUUCAAGUAUAACUUGAUCAAUCUGAAUUUAACUUAAACAACCCAAACUCAAUCUAAGUUUAGAAAAAUUAGAUUGGAUUCAACUUGAUUUAAGUACAUUGGGUUAGAGUUCAAGUUGGGUUGAGUUCAAAUUGAUUAUUUCUUAAUUCAAUUUAGGUUUAGGUUAAUCUUCAACUCGAUCAAAUCACCCAAUUUACAACCCUAGAUAGAGUACCAACUUUCGAAUCAUACUUUAAUAAACCCAAAAGCCUAAUUAAGAGUAAAAAAAAGCUACCUAAAAGCAAAUCAACUUGAAUUUUUAUCGAAAAAACAAUAUCAGUAAUACAUUUAAGUUAUGUUUGGUUUUCAAAAAAUGAAGGAAAAUAAAAAAUAGGAUUAAAGUUAAUAAAUUAUUUUUAUAUGCUAGCUUCUUCAAAUUCAUUUAACUUAUUUCUCUCAAUUACCUGAAGAUUAAAUAAUUUUUAAAUAUAUAAAUUUCUAAUGAAUUGUAAUUAUAAUUAAGCUAGGAGAGAUUUACAUUUGAAAAAGUACCAACAUCUUUAACCUAUCUGAGUCAUCUAAGAUAUGUCGAUAUUUCUUAUAAUAAAUAUGAGGUACUUCUUAAUGCAAUUACAAAGCUAAAGCAUUUACAGACAUUGAAACUUUUUCAAUGUUUGUAUCUUAAAGAAUUGCCAAAAAAUAUAAACAAUUGGACAAACUGGAGGCAUCUUGAGAUUGAUGGGAAUAGUGGAUUGACUUUUAUGCCAUGUGGGUUAGGAGAAUUGACUAUGCUUCAGACUCUACCAUUGUUCUUUGUUGGGAAUAACAACAUGAAUUCUAGUGAUAAGAGAAUUGGUCGGUUGAAUGAAUUAAAAUGCAUUAACAACCUCAGAGGAGAAUUGUAAAUUGCACGACUUUCAAAUAUGAGGGGUGGUUGUGAACGUUUGCAAAAAAAAAAAAAAAAACCACCACACAUUAUCGUGGUGAGUGUUUUUUUCUAUAUAUUGUCAUUUACAAAGUACAUAAAAAUAGAAAAAAUAAAUAUGUACAAGAGAAUAGCCUAGAAUUAAGGACAAGAUAUUGAGCCGAAUAUUAAGGUAGCUAAUUAAAGUAACGUAUCCUUGACACCCCCCCCCCCCCCACAAGUUGAGCGUCGGAUUUGAAUAGACAUGAAGCUUGGUACGAAAGAAGUCAAAGAAAGGGCGAGAAACACUUUCGGUGAAGAGGUCGGAAACCUGUAGAUGAGAGGGCACAUAUUGAGUGCGAAGUUUACCAACAACAAGAAGUUCCCGAAGAAAAUGAUAGUCUAAUUCAACAUGCUUAGCCAGUUUGUGGGAAACGGGGUUGGACCUUAAGAAAAUCGCACUUUUGUUGUCACACGGGAGAAUAGGCUUCGGUGUAAUGGGAACCUUAAGAUCAUGAAGUAGAUGGGCGAGCCAAAGGAGUUCAGCUGCAGUAGUGGCAAAGGUACGAUGCUCAGAUUCACAACUAGAACGAGAGACAGUGGGUUGCUUUUUAGCACUCCAAGAAACCAGAUUAUUGCCAAGAUAAAUAGAGUAGCCAAAGGUGGAAUAGGGAGUAUUGGGACAACCGGCCCAAUCAGCAUCAGAGUAAGCAACUAGGGCACUAGGAGCACCAAAAGGGCGAAAAGUAAGACCAAAGUGAAGUGUGCCCUUGACAUAACGUAAGAUGCCCUUGACCGCAAGAAAGUGAUCCUCAGUAGGGGCAUGUAGAAACUGACUAACAGAGUUGACAACAUGAGCAAUGUCAGGGCGAGUGAUGGUUAAGUAUUGAAGGGCACCAACUAGGGAUCGAUAAAGAGUGGGGUCUGAGAAGGCAGUACCAUCACUAGUUAGAUGCUGAGAGACAACCAUAGGAGUGUGAAUAGGCUUGCUGUUAAAUAACUGGGCACAAGUCAGAAUAUCCCAGUCAUGUUUCAGCUGAUUGAUAAAAAGACCAUCAGUAGUGGAAGUGGCUUCCAAACCAAGAAAGUAGCUGAGAGAGCCCAAAUCCUUGGUGGCAAACUCAGAAUUGAGCUUGUGAGCAAAGCUAUCAAGAAGAGAAGAGUUAUUGCCAGUAAUGAUAAUAUCAUCAACAUACAAGAGCAAAUAAAUAAUGUCAGACUAUUGAUGAAAGACAAAAAGAGAGGUGUCUGCACGGUUGCAAGAAAACCCAAGGGUGAGAAGAAAAGAGCUGAAACGUUGAAACCAGGCACGAGGAGCUCUUUUGAGGCCAUAGAGAGCUUUCUUCAAUUGACAGACAUGAUUCGGGUACCGGGGAUCAAUGUACCUAAGAGGUUGUUCCAUAUAACAUUUUCAAUGAGAGUGCCAUUGAGGAAUGCAUUCUUCACAUCAAGUUGGCGAAGAGGCCAUUUGUUGGUAAUAGCAAGAGAGAGCACAACAUGAACAAUAGUAACCUUAAUAACAGGAUUGAAAGUGUUAGUAUAAUCAAGACCAGGUACCUGAGUAUAGCCUUUGGCCACAAGACGAGCCUUGAGGUGCUCAAUAGACCCAUCAGGCAAAUAUUUGGUCCAGAACACCCAUUUGGAACCAACAAUAUUUGUGUGGGCAGGUCAAAGAACUAGAACCUAGGUGCGAUUAUGUUGCAGAGCUUGAACUUCUUCAUCCAUGGCAACAAGCCAUGCAGGAUUCUUAGUAGCAGACUUGAAUCAUUUAGGCUCGGUGGAGGCAAGAAGAGUAGAGAGAAGCCCAAAUGAGCUUAAGACAUUGAGAUUCGUCGGAUGACGGGUCUUGAAAAUGCCAGCUUUAGCUCGAGUAAGCAUGGGAUGAGAACCCAACGGAAGAGCUAGAGCAAGAGCAACAUCAGAAGCAACAGGAGGUGGACGAGGCUUCAGAGACGGGGAAGAUGGACCUACAAGAAAGUCAGUAACUUGCAAAGACUUGUCCAUUGGGUUAGUACAAAUAACACACGGGUUAGAUUCGGACGGUGUAAUGGAGGGAGAAUGGUGUAGAGGAGACAUCGGAGGGGGGUCAACAUGAGGCAUGCUUGGUUAAAGGAAAUUCGAAAAAUGGAGAGAAGAAGGGGGUUGGGCUUGGGAGCCAUUUAUGGAGGGAAAGUGGUGUUUAUCAAAUUGAGCAUGACGGAUGAUAUAAAGCUUAGAGGUGGUGGGAUCAAGACAACGAAAACCUUUGUGGGAAGGGCUAUACCUUAGAAAGAUGGAAAGAAUGCUGUGAGGGGAAAAUUUUUUAGACAUAUAAUCACGCAGACAAAGAUAAACAGGACAACCGAAAUGAUGAAAAUUCUCAUAAUUAGGUUAUGAACCAUAGAGAAGCUCAAAUGGAGACAUACCUCCGAGAAACAGUGUGGGCAAAAGGUUGAUGAUGUAGGUUGUAGUGCUGAAGGCAUCAACCCAAAAGCAAGGAGAAAUAUGAGAAUGGAAAAGGAGGGUCAGACCGGUUUCUGUCACAUGUUGGUGUUUUCUUUCAGCACGACCAUUUUGGGUGGGGGUAUAGGGGCAAGAGAGUUGAUGAUGAAUACCCGAGUUGCUAAGGUGGGCUUUGAAGUGAUUGCUUGUAAACUCAGCACCACCAUCACUUUGAAAAAUUUUGAUGCGAGUAGAAUGUUGGUUUUCAACAAGAUUUUGAAAGUGAAUAAAAAUGUCAUAAAAUUCAAAUUUUUAUUUCAAAGGGUAAAGCCAAGUAAAGCGGGAAUAAUCAUCAAUGAAUAGCACAUAAUAAAUAAAUCCCGAAGUUGACUUAACGGGGGAAGGACCCCAAAUAUCGUAAUGAAUAAGAUCCAACACAUGAGACAAGCGACGUUCAUUACGAGAAUAAGGCAAGCAAUGAUUUUUUGCAAUUUGACACGUCACAUAAUGAAAGAGAAGGCAACAAUGAGGUAAGAUAAAGAUGGUCAUUUUUAUUUAAUAAAGAAAUAAUUGCUAACAUGUCCAAGACGAGCAUGCCAUAAAUCAUACAAGGCAUGAAGAGCCUUAUUUUUAAGAACAAAAAUGAAAGAGGAAUUGUCGUGCUCCAGCACAUAUAGACCACCAUAUCUUUUACCGGUUGCCACCACCCUUCCCGUUUGACGAUUCUGGAUAGAAAAAAGUUAUUAGUAAAUGUAAUAGCAAGAGGAGGAAAACCGGAUGUUAAUUUACUAAUUGACAAGAGAUUUUUCGUUAAGCGAGGAACAACUAAUACAUCCAAUAACUCAAUAGAUGGGGUAGAAGAGAUGGUACCGGUGUGGGUAAUGGGAAGGGAAGCACCAUUCCCGACAACUACACGAUCCUUACCCGUGUAAUUACUUGCUCGAUCCAAGUGGGAGAGGUCUGGUGUCAUGUGGGCUGAAGCCCUUGUGUCCAGGUACCAGUCACUGGGCUUGGGCCUAUUAAGAGAGCAAGAGGCCUUAAAGGCCUUAAAGGCCUCGACAAGGUUGGUUGUGGUGCCAAUAGGUUCUCCACCUUGUGCAUACCGCUGGUUUCACUUAUCAGCGUAGUGCCCUUCCUGGCGACAGAUCUGGCAGCGUGGCGGACGGUGGCCCUGCUCGGAGUUGGAACGACCAUUAUCACGGUGGGAAGAUGAGUGGCGACCUGAUUGAUGACGAGACUGGUUUAUGAAAGCUGAGCGAGGUUGACCGUGAUUGGUGGCUAUGAAAGCAGCUGUGGGUGGGCCAUGAUUGUCAACGGAUUUAUGGAAAAGCUUAAAGCUUUCAGCCUUGGAGACCAAAUCAGGAAAGGAGAGUAGUGGCGUUUGAGCCAUUUGGGCGGGUGGAAAAGCUUGUGAAAUUUGAACCAAGGCUACGAAGGAACCAAUGGACUUUAUCAGUGCCGUCGACUUGUCUUCCAAUCGUGUGGAGUUGAGCACAAAGGGCUUUGAAUGCCCGAGUAUAUUCGGUUACCAAUCGCGUCCCAUGUCUCAUCAAUUGAAAGUCAUCCUUGAGCCGAAUUUCUCUGGCUUUUGAUCAGUGACUGAAUGUAUUUUCGAGUGCUAACCAGACCUCGCAUGAGGUGGAGAGGCCCACGACCUUGGCCAUGGCUUCCUCCGUGAGGGAGGAGAGCAAAAGACUCAAGAGGCGCUGGUCAGUAUUUUUCCACGCCAAGUGCUUGAUGUUUGGUGUCCGAGAGUCAACAGGAGCAAACCGUGGAGGAGAUGCAAGAGUUCCAUCCACAUGGCCGAGAAGUUCUUGGCUUUCAAGGAGAGGAAGAAGUUGGCUCUUCCAUAUGAGAUAAUUGGAGGAGGAGAGUUUGAUGGUCACCAUGUGAAUCAUGGUGUUGAAAGGGAGAAUGGUGGGGGAGGUGUUUUUGAUAGCCAUUGAAGCAAGGGGGAUCGAUGGAGGCUAGUCCGAGAGGGCUCUGAUACCAUGUGAACGUUUUCAAAAAGAAAAAAACCACCACACAUUAUUGUGGUGAGUGCUUCUUCUACAUAUUGCCAUUUACAAAGUACAUAAAAAUAGAAAGAAUAAAUAUGUACAAGAGAAUAGCUUAUAAUUAAGGACAAGACAUUGAGCCGAAUAUUAAGGUAGCUAAUUAAGGUAAUGUAUCCUUGACAGUGGUGCAUUAGAUUCCAAGGAAGCAAAUUUGAAAGGAAAACAGUGCUUUCAUUCCUUGAGAUUAUAUUGGUUGGAGCCAAUAGAAUGGAUGAUAUGGGACUUUGAACCAGAAAGGAACAACGUUGAGGAGGCUGAGUCGGUGACCCAAGUCUAAAGGAGCUCUACAUUAAGGAUUAUAUUGGUGAGAGGUUCCCAAGUUGGAUGAUGAAUGAUGGGUUUGGUUCAUUGCUCCCAAAUCUAGUGAAAAUUAUGAUGAAGAGGUGUAAAAGAUUCAGAGUUUUGCCACUGUUCGGUCAACUCCCUUCUCUUCAGUAUCUGGAGCUUGAGUGUUGUAUGGAGAACAUGAAGAGCUACUCAUCAUCAGCAACACCAUUCUUCCCAUCCCUGAAGACACUUCGACUUGAAAGGUUGCCUCAUUUGAUGGAAUGGGGAAAGAGGGACGUAGCAACAGAGCAAGCUCCUUCAGUUCCUUGUCUUUCCAAACUAAAGAUCAAAGUUUGCUGGCUGGCCCUAAAUUGAUGUCCUUGGCAUUGCCUUCAUCUCCUUCUAGUCUUUCUAUUCUAGAUAUCAAAGAAUGCAAUAACUUGGCAUCCUUGGCACUACCAUCAUCUGCUUUUCUUUAUGAUUUCUCAAUUAGACAUCAGUUCUUGCAAUAACUUGACAUCAUCGACACUUUCUUCAUUUCCUUGUCUUUCUCAAUUACAUAUCAAUUUUUGCCAGAACUUGAAAUCAUUACCAUUGUCUUUGUUCCUUGUAUUUCGAAAUUGCACAUCAGAUCUUGCCAUAAAUUUUUGCAAUAAAUUACUGUUUUUUGAGGAUUUGUUUUGGAAAUAAAUUACUUUUUAGGAUUUUUGCAAUAUUUUUUAGUUGUUUUAAAUUGUUUUCACUUGUUUUUUAUGAUUUGUUUUAAAAAAUAAUGGAAAAAACAAGCUUUGAUUCACUAAUUUGAAAAAAUAUAAAAAAAAUGACUUCCACUUUUAUAAAUCAGUUUCAUCUUUAUUCAUUUAAAAAUAUUUUUAAAUAUAUGUAUUUUUUAUAACUCAAAUUAUUGUUUUCUGAAAUACUCUUUUACUUGAUAAUAUUAAAUAAAAUUAUUUAAAAUUAUAUUAUAAUUUUUUUAUUGUAUAACAUAAGAUAUAAAUUAUUGUGGAAAAAUCAUAUAGGAUUCUUAAGUAAUAAAUAAAAUCUUUAUAAUCCCUUAAUCAAUAAUGAUUUUAUAUCGUGAAUUAUGUAAAUCCCAUCAUUUUCUCAUUUAUCUAAUAAAAUUAAAUACAAAUUUUGUUAGUUGACAUCAACAAUAAAAUAAAAAAUUUUAAAAAUUAAAAAUACAAUUAAAACUAAAAUACAUAAAGAUUAAAUACAAUUUAAAACAAUAAAAACUAAAAAAUUAAAAUAAAAAUAUUUACUCCCAUUGUAUUUUUAACUAUUUCUUGAUAUUUAUAUUUUCUAUUAGAAUGUUUUAAUUAAGUGAAAGUUAAUAUUUUAUUUUUAUAUUUUUAGCUUUAAAGUCUUUUUUGUUUUAAUUGUAUUUUUAAUUUUCUUAAUUUUUUAUUUUAUUAAUCUCAAAUCAAUUCUCACUUUAUAUUAAUUUGUAUUAUUAACAUAUAAAAGGGUCAAUUUAGGAAAUAAUUAUUUGAGUUAUAAAAAAGUGUACAUAUUUUAAAAUAUUUUAAAUGAGUGAAGAUAAAUUUGAUUUAUAAAAGCUUGAAUUCUUUUUUCUAUAUAUAUAUAUAUAUAUUUUUUUUUUAAAUUAGCCAAUAAAAACCCAUUUUUUCUAAAAAUAAUUAUAUAAACACGUAGAAUAAAACACUACACAUAAAAAUUAUUUUUAAAAAUAAUAAAAAUAUGUUAAAGAUAAUUUAUGUCUUUAAACAAACCUUUUCUUUACAAAAUAUAAAAGAAUAAUUUUUUAAAACUGCUAUUUAAAACUAUUUUUGAUUCAAAAACGUACAAUUUCUAAACAUAGCCUAUGUUUUUGUCUUCUUUUCUUUUUAUCACCUUGUUCUUUACUUUGUUUUCUUAUACUCUGCACAAGGCUCUUUAGUUUCCUCCACAACACUCCUACCAACUGCCACCACCUUCUUUGACAGGCCAUACAUAGCUUAAUGUUUUAAAAAAUGAAGAUAAAAAGGAAAUCAUUAAUUGGAUGUCAACCUAAUGCAACCAUUAUAUUUAAAUUGAAUUGUUUUGUAGUUGGUCGGUGUAGACCCCUUUUAAUAGGCCACCCCCGGGAGGAGUAAAAUUUUCGUUUUUUUUAGGGGUGGGGGACGACUACCAAUGGCACAUGAAGACGCAUGGCGAAGCGCGUCACCAACUCACCAUGGUGGUGGUUGGGAUGGCGACCUGGCUGAGCGGUGAAUAAGGGAGCAGAUAAUGGCUUGGUUGGGAAGAAAACCGGAUGGGGGGCCAAGUCUAGAGGGUAAAGAACAAAAAAAUGAGUUUUGGGUGGAGAUACUGGAGGAUGCUGGGUUGGUUGGGGGAGUCUAGGGUUCUAGGGAAAAAGAAUUCUCUGGCCAGGCGAGAGCUGUGAAGGAGCUCUCAGGUAAGUUUACAGGGUAUCUCUCGUUCAUAUUCACUAUCACAGUUCUUUCAUUUUUUCCUCUUGCUAUUUGGGGUUCCGUUUGUUUGUUUGGAUAUGGAUAAUAGGAGAUAUGCAUGAGUUUUGUUGAUUUCCGGCUCGUUUAUAUGCCCAUUGAUCGUUUCAUUCACUGUCCUUCUUAGCAUUGGUUUAAACCUAGUAAAGUUAUGUUUCAUUUUGCUCUAUGUGAAGAUAUUGUUUGCUAUUUUCUCGUUUGGACCCGUCGGUACCCUUCCCACCAAUCCAAGCCCGUUGAAAGAGCAUUAGAUAUGGUUUCUCUUGAUUCAUAUGUAUAUUUUCUUGUUUACUUUUCCUAUUUUGUUUUCACGUUUUUACUCUCCUCCAUCCCUCCACCCCUCCACCCUCUAAUCCACCACGCCCAUCUUUCACCCACAUACCAACCCACUUCUGCCACCACCCAACCCGACAUCAUACUUCUACAUAUCCUUCAUUCAUGACUCCAUCCCACCAUGCAUGGAAAUACCAACCCUAUUACAAUCCGUUUCUAUGCCUCAUUCAUACCCAUUUCCUAUCCACAUGCAUGAAACCAUGUAUGGAACUAUGCAUAUCAACACCCUUCUAUGGAACCAUGCAUAUCACCACCCUUCCGUGCCCACCUUACCCAUUCUUUCUUACCACCUCUCUCUACACCACGUUCAUAAUGCCCACUUUCUAUCCACAUGCAUGAAACCAUGCAUAUCACCACCCUCCUAUACCCACCUUACCCAUUCUUUCUUACCACAUUUCUCUUUCUACACCACGUUCUUCAUGCCCACAUCCUAUCCACAUGCAUGAAACCAUGCAUAUCACCACCCUCCUAUACCCACCUUACCCAUCCUUUCUUACCACCUUUCUCUCUACACCACGUUCUUCAUGCUCACUUCCUACCCACAUACAUGAAACCAUGCAUAUCACCACCCUCCCAUGCCCACCUUACCCAUUCUUUCAUUAACCUAUCUCUCAUUCCGCACCUCCAUUCUUCAUGCCUUUCGGGAACCAUACCACCAUACCCAUAUCAACACCCACUAACCCAUUCCCUUAUCAUAUUAUCGAUACCCUUUUCUCUUACUUAUCACCUUUCUCAUUUUCCAAACCUCCAUCACUCGCUCCACUAGUCUCAUACCCAUUUUUCCUCACCACCGUGGCAACCUCCAUCCACACCGCCCUACUUUCUUGUCCUUUAUCUUAGAGAGAAAAUUUUGGUAAGUUACUCAUUUUAAUUUCUACAGUGGGUGUAUUUUUUUAUGUUUGUGGGUCUUGCAUAUUGGCUUUGAGCCCUUGGGCCUGGGUGUAAUUGGGCAUGGUUUGAGUUGAUUAUUAUAAAGCAAGUUGUGGGCUGUGAGACCCUUGGGACCGUUUAGGCUUGGGUCAUUAUGCUAAUGGAUAUGGGCUUGGGAUGGUGCCUAGGCCCAUAUGUGUUGAUGAAAGGCCUCAUGUUUUGUUCACCCAUCUUAAGUUGGCUCAUGCCCAUUUCAAGUCCAUACUCACUUCAAGUUAGCCCAUUUGUUUGUUUUCAAUUUACAUAAUUUACCUUUUUAAAAGCCCUAAUUUCUCAAUAAAUUUUCUAAAUUUAAAUUCCAAUUUCUGAAAUUUUAAUUUUCACAUCAAUUUAUUUAAUCAAUAUUACUUUAUUCAUUUGUUUAUUUGUUUAUUUUUAAAAUUCAAUCUUUAAAAAAUCCUUCAAAAUUCCGAUUUCUAAAUUUUAAUUCUAAUUUCCGAAAUUUUAAUUUGCAUAUCAAUUUAUUUAAUCAUUAUCAUUUUAUUCAUUUAUUUAUUUGUUUAUUUUUAAAAUUCAAUCUUUAAAUAACUCUUCGAAAUUCUGAUUUCUAAAUUUAAAUUCCAAUUUUCGAAAUUUUAAUUUUCACAUCAAUUUAUUUAAUCCUUAUUAUUUUAUUUAUUUAUUUAUUUGUUCAUUCUUAAAAUUCAAUCUUUAAAUAACUCUUCAAAAUUCCGAUUUCUAAAUUUAAAUUCUAAUUUUCGAAAUUCCAAUCUUUAUAUCAAUUUAUUUAAUCAUUAUCAUUUUAUUCAUUUAUUUAUUUGUUUAUUUUUAAAAUUCAAUCUUUAAAUAACUCUUCAAAAUUCUGAUUUCUGAAUUUAAAUUCCAAUUUCCGAAAUUCUAAUUUUCACAUCAAUUUAUUUAAUCAUUAUUUUAUUUAUUUAUUUAUUUGUUUGUUUAUUUUUAAAAUUCAAUCUUUAAAUAAUUCUUCAGAAUUCCAAUUUUUGAACUUAACUUCCAAAAUUCCCUUUCUUAAAUUCAAUUCCCAAGACUCCAAUUUCCAAAUAAUUUUCGAGACUCUGAUUUUCAAACAAAUUUCAAAAAUCCAGUUUUCACUCGAACAGUUUUAAUUCCAUCUCGAUUCUCAAAUAAUCUGUUGUUCAUCUUGAUUUUACAUAAGUAUGAAUGUCAUUUUUCAUAAUUCCAUAAUAAUGGAAUUUGUGAUAUUAAUUCGUGCAAAAUAGAUCGGGCUUUGGUGGGGGCCCCACAUACGUGAUUUUAUGAUUGAUUGAUUUAUUCUAUUCCAUAAUAUGCACAUAAUCAUUCUAUGUUUGUUCACUAACCAUUUGUUUUCCUUUAAGUAAAUCAGUUCAUCACUGAGGUACAUUAUUUGCGUCUCCCAUUCAUUCAAUUAUUUUGUUUUGAGUGGUAUUUAUUUGGUAUCUAUGUUCGAUUAAUCAAUUGUUAUGCUUGUUUCAUUUUAUUAACAGAGAUCCAUUUUAGAGACUUAAAGGGAUGUUAUAGUCUUUAUCGUACCUUCUCGAUAAGUAACCUGACCCUCGAACCCGAUUCGGUUUUUUGUAGACCACCUUUUCCAAAUAAGGAGUCACACUUAGGGUUUUCUUUCUUAUUUUGUUUACCAUUUAAAAAUAAAAUUAAAAUAAGUGGCAACUCCAAGUUUUUUUUUUUUCAAAAAAAUCAAAUUUCCAUCAAAUAAAACAAAAAGCGAAUUUCGCCAUCGAGGGGAAGCGCAUGAGCCGAAAUGCGGGGUCCACGUUUAGAUUUCCACAUCUUUCCCAAAUAUUGUUGAAGUAUUGGUUUGACAAGGGCUAUUUUCUUCUAGAAAAUAAGUGAACAUAUAUAUUAUUAUCACUUCAAAUAAAGUCUAUGGGAAUUAUGGCUUCUUACUUCAAUGUUAAUCUGGAUAGACAACUCAUAUUUUUAGUCAUUACCAUAAUUGUUGCAAUCAUGCCAUUAAUAUAUUUGUGACUAGUGUAUUUAAAUACCACAUCCACAAUCAUAGCUGUAAUUGCUCCAUGUAUCAAGCCAUUACAUGCGUUUAUAUACCCAUGUAAAUUAUGAAUGAAAGCAAGAGUUUUUCUUUUGUUUUAAAUCUAUCAACUCAAAGCUUUACUUAGAGUUAGGGAUGAAGUUAGGCAAGUUCACCCGAUCUAAUUUGAACCCAAUCCGAUAUUUGAGCGGAUUUAAACAAUCAUUUUUAAUAAUUGGGUUGGGUUGAGUUAGGUUUUUUUCAACCUUAACUUAAUUUGGGUUGGUCUUGGAUUAAAGUUUAGACAACUAGAGUUUAACUUGAAUCCGAUUUAAUAUUUUUAUAAUAUUUAUAACACAUUUUAUUCUAUGUAAUAAUAUAAGUUUUCUUUUUCUAUUUUUAUGAAAUAUAUCAAAUUAUAUUAUAUACUAUGUUUUUCAUUAUUUUUAGAAAAUAUAUAAAUUUAUGUUUAUUCUUUUAUUGCUAUCUUGAAAUUUUGUCCUAUUUGUUAUUAAAAUUUUCAUAAAAAUGCAUUAAAAUAAUAUUAUACAUAAAUUUUGAAUUAUGCAACAUGACCAAUUCAAGUGUAGCUCGAUCAAUCUGAAUUUAACUUAAAUAGCUCAAACUCAAUCCAAGUUUAGAAAAAUUAGAUUGGAUUGAACUUGAGUUUAGUACAUUGGGUUAGAGUUCAAGUUGGGUUGAGUUUAGAUUGAUUAUUUCUUAAUUCAAGUUAGGCUUAGGUUAGUCAUCAACUUGAUCAACUCACCCAAUUUACAACCCUAGAUAGAGUACCAACUUUCGAAUCAUACUUUAAUAAACCCAAAAGCCUAACUAAGAGAUAAAAAAAAGCUACCUAAAAGCAAAUCAACACAUGAAAUCAACUUGAAUUUUUAUCGAAAAAACAAUAUCAGUAAUACAUUUAGGCUAUGUUUGAUUCUCGAAAAAUGAAGGAAAAUAAAAAAUAGGAUUAAAGUCAAUAAGUUAUUUUUAUAUGUUAACUUCUUCAAACUCAUUUAAUUUAUUUCUCUCUAUUAUAUGAAGAUUAAAUAAUUUUUAAAUAUAUAAAUUUCUAAUGAAGUGUAAUUAUAAUUGAGCUAGGAGAGAUUUACAUUUGAGAAGGUACCAACAUCUUUAGCCUAUCUGAGUCAUCUAAUAUAUGUCGAUCUUUCUUAUAAUAAAUUUGAGGUACUUCUUAAUGCAAUUACAAAGCUAAAGCAUUUACAAACAUUGAAACUUUUUCAAUGUUUGUAUCUUAAAGAAUUGCCAAAAAAUAUAAACAAUUGGAUAAACUUGAGGCAUCUCGAGAUUGAUGGGAAUAGUGGAUUGACUUUUAUGCCAUGUGGGUUAGGAGAAUUGACUAUGCUUCAGACUCUACCAUUGUUCUUUGUUGGGAAUAACAGCAGGAAUUCUAGCGAUAAGAGAAUUGGUCGGUUGAAUGAAUUGAAAUGCAUUAACAGUCUCAGAGGAGAAUUGGCAAUUGCACGUCUUUCAAAUAUGAGGGGUGGUGCAUUAGAUUCCAAGGAAGCAAAUUUGAAAGGAAAACAAUGCCUUCAUUCCUUGAGAUUAUAUUGGUUGGAGCCAAUAAAAUGGAUGAUAUGGGACUUCGAACCAGAAAGGAACAACGUUGAGGAGGCUGAGUCAGCGACUCAAGUCCAAAGGAGCUCAUAAAUAAGGAUUGUAUUGGUGAGAGGUUCCCAAGUUGGAUGAUGAAUGAUGGGUUUGGUUCAUUGCUCCAAAAUCUAGCGAAAAUUAUGACGAAGAGUUGUAAAAGAUUCAGAGUUUUACCAGUACUGUUUGGUCAACUCCCUUCUCUUCAGUAUCUGGAGCUUGAGUACCUAGAUUCUGUAUGGAGAACAUGAAGAGCUACUCAUCAUCAGCAACACCAUUCUUCCCAUUCCUGAAGACACUUUGACUUGAAAGGUUGCCUCAUUUAAUGGAAUGGGGAAAGAGGGGCGUAGCAGCAGAGCAAGCUCCUUCAUUUCCUUGUCUUUCCAAACUAAAGAUCAAAGUUUGCUGGCCGGCCCUAAAUUGAUGUCCUUGGCAUUGCCUUCAUCUCCUUCUAGUCUUUCUAUUCUAGAUAUCAACGAAUGCAAUAACUUGGCAUCCUUGGCACUACCAUCAUCUCCUUUUCUUUAUGGUUUCUCAAUUAGACAUCAGCUCUUGCAAUAACUUGACAUCAUCGACACUUUCUUCAUUUCCUUGUCUUUCUCAAUUACAUAUCAAUUUUUGCCAGAACUUGAAAUCAUUACCAUUGUCUUUGUUCCUUGUCUUUCGAAAUUGCAUAUCAGUUCUUGCCAUAAAUUUUUGCAAUAAAUUACUGUUUUUUGAGGAUUUGUUUUGAAAAUAAAUUACUUUUUGCAAUAAAUUUGAGGUGUUUUUAAAAAAUAAUAGUUUUUAAAUUUUUUUAAAACACUGAGGUAUAAAAAAAAAUUAUUAAUUACCUUAAAUUUUAAAUCUUUUAAAAGUGACUUAUUUUUAUUUUUAUUUUUUCUUCAGGAUAUGUAAGCCAUCUCUUAUUUGACCAGGGACUUGUGGAGCUGUUGUCGUUACCUGUAAAAGCUUGUGCAUGAUGGACAAUGAUAUAGUACCAAACAGGAAAGGAUUUGGUGGAGCUUCCCUUUAAAGUAUGUGCAUGAUGAUGAAUUAUGAUCAUUUGAGGGAUUGACGAUUUUUAGAAAGAAAAAAGUGAAUUUGAAAAAGAAAAUGUCUGAAUGAUACUGACACCCAGCCUGUAAAGCACAAAGUGUGGUCAGACUAUACGAAUCAAACUUUAGCAACAUUGCCAAUGUAUUGGUCUCAGCAACACCAAUUUAAAAAUCCCCAUUAAACUCGGUAGCUCAGUGUUUACAGAUUUUGUGUUCAUGGCUGGUUCUCUUGAGAAUGCCAUGGUGCUGUCAUCAACAACCGAUGAAGAUGAGAAACAGAAGGGAAGUAGAAGCAAAAGAGAGAUCAUUUCCACCCUCCCAACUGAAAAAGGCUGGAAAAUUCAGGGUCUUAUGUACCAGUACCAAGGCUUUUGGUACUAUUCUGGGGGUGCGGUAGAAGGAGUCAUGUGGAUGCAAAAAUGCUUCAAGGCAAGGAAUGAAGAUGUUCUCUUGGUCUCCUUUCCAAGAUGUGGAACAACAUGGUUGAAAUCUCUCAUGUUUUCUAUCAUGAAUCGAACCAGGUAUGAUUUCUCAGCACACCCUUUGCUGACUUCUAGCCCUCAUGAACUUGUUCCCUUCUUGGAAUUCUACGCAGAGCAGAACAUCCCCUUCCCAGACCUGGACACACUUUCCUCUCCUCAGCUCUACCAUACUCACAUUGCCCUCACUUCAUUACCCCAACCUGUCAUAGACUCUCAGUGUCGAAUUGUCUAUAUCUGUCGCAACCCCAAAGAUGUGUUUGUUUCUAUUUUUUGUUUUCUCUCGAGAUGGAAUAUAGUGGUUCCCCUUGAAGAGGCAUUUGAGUUGUUCUGCAAAGGAAUUAGCGUGUAU